UUUUUUUUUUUUUUUUUGUGGGGGGGGGGGGGGGGGAUAUUGGGUUUGGGCUUAUAGAUUUAGAGCCCGUUUGGAUUCGCUUAAAAAGUACUUCGUAUUUGAGUCAAAAAAAAAAGUCAAAUUGAAAUUAACUUUUAAGUCAAAAAUAAAAAAUCAAAUUGAAAUAACUUUUAAGUCAAAAAUAAAAAGUCAAACUGAAAUAAUUUUUAAGUCAAACAAUUAAAAGUAUGGGAAGACCUACUUCUGAUUUUUGACUUAUUUUAAGUCACUUUUGACUUUGUCAAACAUUUCCUAACUUAUUUGAAGUCAUUUUUUACUUAUUUUAAGUUAUUUUUUAUAUUUGUCAAACACUUCGAAAAGUCAAAAACUGACUUAAAAGCAAGUUUAACCAACUUUAAAGCCAAAUCAAACACCCUCUUACUACAUUUACAUACUCCAUUAUUAUAUAUACUCCCUCCGUCCCAUUUUAUAUGAUGUACUUUGAUUUGGCACAAACUUUAAGAAAAAUGGAAAGACUUUUAAAACUUGUGGUCCAAAAUGAAUGAUAGAAAUUUGUGUGGUUGUAAAUCAUUUCAUUAAGGGGUAAAAAAAGACAUUUUCAUAGGCAAAUUGUUACUUAAAAUAGAAAUGUGUCAUUCUUUUUGGGACUGACUAAAAAGGAAAGUGAGUCAUAUAAAUUGGGACAGAGGGAGUAGUAUUGUUACCUAUAUUGUUCAAAUAUUAUUUAUAUUAUCAUUAAUUAAGAGUUUCCUACUAUAUAUUGAGGAAAAUAUAUAUAGUAUUGUUACCCAUACUUUUCAAAUAUUAUAUAUCUUAUCAUUAAUUAAGAGUUUCCUACUAUAUAUAUAUAUAUAUAGUAUUGUUACCUAUACUUUUCAAAUAUUAUGUAUCUUAUCAUUAAUUAAGAGUUUCCUACUAUAUAUUGAGGAAAAUAUAUAUAGUAUUGUUACCCAUACUUUUCAAAUAUUAUAUAUCUUAUCAUUAAUUAAGAGUUUCCUACUAUAUAUUGAGGAAAAUAUAUAUAGUAUUGUUACCUAUACUUUUUAAAUAUUAUGUAUUUUAUCAUUAAUUAAGAGUUUCCUAUUAUAUAUUGAGGAAAAUAUAUCUAUAUACAUGUAUUUUUGCUAUCAGAUACACUAAAAUAAGGAAAGAAGUGAGCAAAAUUUGUUAUGUAUCCUAGAUACAUGUGAAUCCACUUGGAUGCAGUGUAUCUAGAACAAAUUUCACCUGAUUUUUGUUGAGAAUAGAAUUAACCAAUAAAAGUGUGUUCUCUCUAAAAGCUUAAUCUUUUAGAUAAAAUGAUUACACACUUCAACAUAGUAUCAGAGCGGGUAGAGGUUUCUUGGGAUCAAAUCUCACCGCCACCCAUAUAAAAAAAAUAAAAAAAUCAAGUGUUUGGCCCAUGAAAAAAUAAUCAUACCUACAUGUGAGGAGGCGUGUCGAGAAUAUAAUUAACUAAUAAGAGUAUAUUAAAUUUGUGAUGUUACAAACUAGAGUGCAUCUAAAUAAUUAUCUCCUAAACUAGUGAAAUUUUUAUACGUUUCCCAUUGUUUAAUGUCAAUUUGGGUCAUACAACUUGGGUUACUUUACAAAGUAAAUAUAAAUGGAAUUAAUGAAAACGGGCCUGACAAUUGGGCUUGGUGAAAAGGUAAGUGUGGGCCAAAAUUUGUUACUCUAUUUAACACAGAUACAACUUUUUUAAAACGGGAACUUACAUAAAUAUAUCAUAUUAAGAAAAUAUUUACCAUUUAUAGCAAUAACAUUUUUUUUCACUUGAUUACUUUGAAUACAUUUAUAAUACAGUUUUAAUGCAUAUUACAAAGAACAAUUUAUUAUUCACAUAUAAUAUACAAGUUUUAUUGAUAGAUAGUACAUUUAUCACACAUUUUAAUACACUUAUAAUUCAAUGUGUCAAUUUCUUACCAAACAAGCAUAAUAUAUUUAAAAAACAGUAAUAAUGCAUAUAUAUUACAUACAUAAUUCACUUUUAAUAUUUAACAUAGUAUAUUUAUAUAUUGCUAUAAAUGAUAAUAAAUAAAAGGUAUCGCUAAAAUCGAUAAUAAAUUAUUAAAAGGUAUCAAUCCAAGUAAUUUUUCCUUUCUAAAAUGUACAUAAAAACGCUUUAGCUACUUUGUAAAUAGGCAAAAUGACACAAAUCCCCCCCUUAAGUUUACUUAUUACUAUUUUCCCUUAAUAGUUUUAUUAAUCCCCAAAAUCCCUCUUUUUCUCUUUUAAGUCAAAAAAUCUCACGGAUACAAUAUUGGGCCUUUCCUACACUAAAAACCAGAGUUCAUUCUUUUCUUAUUUCUCUCCUAAAACUUCUGCACAUUUUCUUUGACAGUUGAUUUCUCCAAUAUUCUUCAAAAUCAAGUAUCUCUCUGUGUAUACUCUAGGUAAAUUUGAUACUUUUCUUGUAAUCCUCUUUUGUUUCUGCUUAUACUGUUGAAAUACUCUUUUGUCUGUUCUUCUAACUGUUGAAUCAGAUGGAUGAUGCUAACACUAAUCGGAUAUAUGACUAUGAAGAUACUGGUUGGGAGGAGAACAUUUUUUUGUUAGUUAAUCAAUUUAUGAUACAAAAAAUGCACAAAUUCAGGUCUCUUAUUUAAUGUAUCGUUAUUAUCUGUAAUCAAUUUAUACACUAACCCUAACUAAGUCAAAUUAUGAUGUAUUUUAUUUCAACUGUUAUAACAUACAUUGUUCAGUAGAUCUCAGUCAUUAAUGUAUCAUUUGUGUUUUGUUUAUGGGUCUGUGUAUGUGUAUCUGCUAUUUCAAGUUUCAUACUAAAUAUUGUAUCAGUUACAUAUAAUGUGUCUUUCAUAGUAAAUGUUGUAUCAGUUACAUAUAAUGUGUUUUAUUUAUGGGUCUGUAUGUGUAUCGUACGUGUUUUGUUUGUGGGUAUGUUUGUGUAUCUGUUAUUUUUUGUAUCUCAGUCAUUAAUGUGUCUUUCUUAACAAUGUGUUAUAUUUUGUAUCAUCUUAAUAACAGGUUGUUAUUUUUGCAUAAUAUUCUGUUAUGAUUUUGGAUUCUUACAGACUAUGAGUUAUGUUAUCAAGCAAAUCCUUACACACUAUUUGAAAUAAAAUACAUUAUAAUUUGACUUAGUUUGUGUUUUGUUUAUGGGUUUGUGUAUGUGUAUCUGCUAUUUCAAGUUUCAUACUAAAUAUUGUAUCAGUUACAUAUAAUUCAAGAUUUAAUGUAUCGCAACUUUCAAUUUUUUCACCUGUUAUAUAUGAAGUACAUUGAUGAACAAUCUUGUCGUAUAUAAUUUGAUACAAAAAUUAGAUAACAUUCUUGUAUCAGAUACAUUAAUUCUCAAACACACUACAACAUUUAUGCUCAUUACUUCUUGUAGAAACUGAUACUUCCACACUUUACUAAUCCAAUGUAUCAUAUUCAUUAAUUCAUAAAUAAACGAAUUCAUUCAUUUUCAUUGCUUCUGAUAGGAACCGAUACUUUGACACUCUUUUCAUGCUCUGAUAAUUUUGCUCAAAUUUAUCAGCCGAUUCCUUUGCACUUUAAUAACUCAAUGUAUCAGAUUCAAUAAUUCAUAAGGAAACACAACUUUACUAUUCUGGUUGUUUAGGUCAAUUUAUCCUCAUUAGUUGGUGGCUCAUUUCACUUAACUUAUGAUACAUUAUAUAAUUGUAAAAUUGGAAUACUCAAACUGAUACAAUUUCCACAAUCAGAAUAUAUUGUACAUUAUUAACAAACAAGUGAUGAUACAUUAUUUCAACACCUAUUUUGAUAUAUUGCAAUGUUUUAUCAAGGUUAAAUUGAAAACUAAAAAAAAAACUGAAAGCACAGCGGAAUUUAAAAUAUAAUGUAAACUAAUUUGGCGUGAUUUAUGGGAUUCAAUUUUUGAUUUUCCAUCUUUAUUUUCCAUUAAAAGCGCAACAAAAAAAUAUCCAACCUUUAAUUAAUAAUGUAUCCGCUCCAUAUAUUUAAUGUACCAGUGCUGAAUUAUUGUAUCCGUGUUUUAAAUUUUUGAAGGAUUUCAGUCAUUUUAAACUUAUAAGGGACAAAUGGUCAUUUUGGUUGUAAAGUAUGUGAUUUAUGUCCUUUGCCCUUGUAAAUAUUACAUAAAUAUAAUUUGGGCAAAUUAGGCCCUUCGGCCCUUCUUCUUCUUCCUCUGUUUCUUUUUUAAAAAAUCGGCUUAUUGCAAACGUAAAUCAUUUCGAGAUACAUAUAUAUAUCAGACUCAAAACUUCAAUAGGAUUGCAUAUCUAUAAUUUGAGACAUUUGGAGGUAAUUUCAAGUUGAUCGUGAUUGAAUAGUCAAUGUAUAUUUUAUGUACAGUUAAGUUAUAUUCGAUUUUUGAGUGUAUCAUAAUAGAUAGUAUGUGUAUAAUAUAUAGGUAUAUGAUAUUGUAUAGUCAAUGUAUACUUUCUGUGACUUUUGACAAGCUAUAGUCUAUAUUGUAUAUAUUUGAAAUUAGCUCCUAAUUCGAGAAAUACGCUACUAACUACUUUCGAAUCAUGGAAAAAAUUUAAAGAGAAGAAUCGAGGGAGGAACAUAAUUGUACACAUUUUGUUAUAUGAAUAAAAUUAUGUUUCUUCAUAUUUUUUUUGUUAAUGACUUAUUUUUCAUAUAUUUCAAAUUUAUUACAAACAAUAAUAUAUAUUAAGUAUGAUAUAUAAUAUAAUGUUAUGAAAAUAAUCAUGAUAUGCUAUAUAUUUAGAUAUACUCAGUAAUGCUUCCUUACUAAUUAGGGAAAAUUUCAUAUAUGGCAAACGGAUUUUAUGAAAUAACGCUCUAUAGGUGUAGUUUACAUAAUUACAUUUCAUGGGUAUAAUUUAGUUUGCUAUGGAGCUUUAAAUAUGUAUAAAAUAUUUUUUGGGUUUUAAAUUUAUACAAUAUUUUAUUUUUUUAAUGAAUGGAAACAUGAGCACUAAAUACGAUAAUAGUAAAUUUACAUAAUCCCGUGAUUUAAGUUAAACGUCCAACAUUCAUUUUUUUUCCAAAAUAGAGUUCUACAGCGAUAGAAAGACGAUACCAAUUUGUUUCCUCAUACGACUGAAGCAUCAGAUUAAUCAAUUUUUUUGUAUAUUCAACGAUAGGUAAAAUUUCUUUGAAAGAAGCUUAUGUUUUGAACUGCAAGAGAUUAUACAAUUGAUUUGUAUAGCGUAAACAUUGAAAUUUUGAAACAAUUUUUUUCUGUUGUGUUGAUUGUAAUGUUUUAUAAAAACAAUUUUCUAUUUUCCCUUAUUUAUACAAUAUUAUAUAAAUCCUAUAUUAACAAUUUCUUUCUAAAUUUUAGUUCAAAAAAUUGAAUAAAAAAUUGAAUGACAUGAGUUGUAUAUAUGAAUUGAUUAUAUGUAUAUAUGUGAGAAAUUGUGUAAAAUUCUUAUACAAUCUAUAUGUGUAGUUAAUUGUAUAAAAUUCAUAUGUCAAUUGUAUAAAUGACAAUCGUGCAUGAAUCGACAAAAAAGGUGUGCUGUAAUUUUUAAUUUCUGGUGUAAUAUGUUUGUGUAAGGUUUGUAUAUUGUACCAUGUUCAUACUUUUGUAUAUAUGUAUAAUUACAUUCUUUUAUACAAAACUAAAAGUUUGUAUAAAGAAAUUAUAUUUGUAUUUCCUUUGUAUAUAUCUAUAUAUUUUUAUGUGUAUUAGUAUUGUAUAUGAAUAUGGUACUUAAUUAUACAAAUAUAAACUGUCUCAAGCAAUUUUGUAUAUACUACCUUAAUAUACAACUCACUAUAUGCAUUACCUUCAAGUAAUUUGUAUAUAAUUGAUAAAAUAUACAAAUUACAAUAUACAAUAAUGAUUCAGGCAUAAACUGUACAUAGACUUCAAGUAACCUUUUAUAUAACUAACAAAAUAUACAAAUAACUAAUACAAGUGUGAUUUAAGAAUGAAAUAUACGAUAUACAUAUAUCUGUAUACAAAUAUGAUUUAAUCAGAAUAUAUAUAUAUAUAUACACACACACGAAUAUACAAAUAUCUAUCUAAAAUUGUGUUUUAAGCAAAUACAUGAUGUUCUUCAGAUUUGUCCAGAUCUGAUGAAGCAAACUCAAUCUCCUUUGAAUCGUUGUUUAUGACUUUUCUCUUACUUCCCCCUUCAACAAUUUUAAUGUCGCUUGCCUUCACAUUGGUGAUGACUUUUUGAAUUACAAUUGAGUCUUUUUUUUUCUUGGAUAUCAAUUCUUCAAUAGACCUUUCAUCUUGAACUUGUUUAAAUUUUGCCAUAGACCUUGCAUUAACCCCAAAAUUCUGAGUUAACAUCGAUCGAAAAAGAAGGUGGAUUGUCAACAACUUUGACAUGCAAAUGGUGUACCUCUCGCUAUCCUCUUAGAUGGAGAUGAAUCAUCCAUUUUGUUUUUGAAAACUGAUAGUCUGAUAAGUAAGAAAGAAUUUUUUUAAAAAAUUAUCAAAAAAAGUAACAAGCAUUAUACAUAUAUAAUUGUUGAAAAAAAAGAAAGAUAUUCACCCACGAUUUUGACGGUUAUCUGCGAAAAGUGAAAACACAAUUGGAGAGAGAAGGUGAAAUUCAAAUUUCAAAUUGAAAGUGGAAGAGUGAUUUUAGGAGAAAGAUAUGGAAUGAUGAUAGGAGAGAUAAAUUUGAUUUUGUAUAAAAUUAUAUACAAAAGCAUAUAAAGGGCUCUGUUGGUUCAGCUUCGGUAUACAAAGAGGUGGUGGGUCCCAUUAAUUAUGGCAAAAAUCUGAAACUAUACUUAGUGACAGUAAAUAAAUUAAACUAUACCCUUAUUAACUAAUAACCUAGGGAUGUUUGCCAACUCGCGUAAUUUUCCAUACUAAUAAGUAGUCUUUACGAGGAUAUAAAAUUUGUAGGGAUUAAAUUGAUUAUAUUAAGUAUUGUUCUUAUUUAGUCGUAUUUUAUUAAACACAAAAAUAUGACCGAUCAUAUUUAGUUUCCUCAUCAUUUACAGAAAACUGUCAAUUUAUAUAGAUGGACAUAAAAUAUCGAAAAUUGAAUUACCGAAUCGAAAUUUUAGUUAUUUGGUAUUUUGGUAUGGUAUUCGAAGUAGAAUUUUAGAAUUAUGGUAUUUGGGUUUUUGGAUUUGGUAUCAGACAUUAGUACCAUUUGGUAUUCCAUAUUUCCCGAAUACCAAAUUAUUUACUUAAGGAAAGUCAUAUAUCAUCAUAUCCAUUACUCAUUGGUACAAAACCAAAGAGAAAGUAAAGAACAAGCAUGAAUAAUCUAAAUACAAGUCUUUUAGUUGUAUCAAUUUGCUUUUCUUGAUGUUUUCUUACUUGUUGAUCUUGUAUUAUAUUGUAUGUCCACAUAAAAAAAUAGAAAUGAUUGGAGAAAUAGUAUUAACUUUGUAAUACAAUUGGUUAUAACUUCAAUACGAUAUUAUCGAAUACUGUACCAAAUCGAAGUUUAAUUUACUCUUUCCCGAAUUACCAAACCAAAAUUUAAAAAAUUGAUUUUGGUAUCUACUUUUAACUACCAAUUACCGAAUUACCAAAUUCGAAAUUUGAGAAAUCUAAACCGAAUACUGAAUGCCCACCCCUUAUAUAUAUAUAGUGGAUCAUGUAAUUUAAUUAAGGGAAAAUAUAUAAAAGGGCCAUAAAAUCCAAAAUAAUUACAAGUUCAUACCCAAACCCAAUGUAAUUCCUAAAAUACUCAUUCUCUCAUGAAUAAUUACAGCCCAUACCCCCAUUUAUUAAAGUUGAUAAUUUUCACUUAAAUGAUACUCCCUCUGUCCCAAUUUAUAUGACUUACUUUCCUUUUUAGUCAGUCCCAAAAAGAAUGACACAUUUCUAUUUUAAGUAACAAUUUGCCUAUAAAAUGUCUUUUUUACCCUUAAUGAAAUGAUUUACAACCACACAAAUUUCUAUCAUUCAUUUUGGACCACAAGUUUUAAAAGUCUUUCCAUUUUUCUUAAAGUUUGUGCCAAAUCAAAGUACAUCAUAUAAAAUGGGACGGAGGGAGUACAAAUUUGGUGUCAUGAAGACAAGAAACAACAUAAUAAAAAAAUUCAAAAAAAGAAAAGAGAUGAGUAAUCAAACUCGUCAAGGUGCCUGAAGGAUGAUUUAAAGUGAUGAAAAAAUGAUACUAAAUAUAGCUUCAAUUUUUUUCAUGGAUGACUAAUUUGGAAGAAGUAAAUGAAAAACAAAAGAGAAAAGAAGAAGAAGGAGGAAUAAAAGAGUAAAGAUAUUUUUGUAAUUAAUGAAAAAGGGGAUAAAAAGGAAAAAAUAAAUAUAAAUAAUAAAAAUAACAGCUGGCAGCGAGUGGGCAUCACUACAUGUUGAGAAUGUGGUUGUCUAGUUUUAGGGUGGUAUAUAUUUUAUUUUUGAAAAAUUCAGGGGGGUAAUAGGACCCCCGCAAAGUAUAAGUGUGUAGUUGAGAAUUCGAUAAUAGGUUAGGGAGGCAUUUGUCUAUUUUCUCUNNNNNNNNNNNNNNNNNUUUAAAAUAUAUUAAACCAAUUUAAUAAAUUAAAGUAUGAAAAAUCAUUUUUUGAAUUGAUUGACUAACCUUUUUUGAGAAAAUGACUAAAUAAGCAUUAUUAUUUUAAUUAAUUGAAAAGGCUUUUUAAAAGUUUAUUUGGGAGAGAUCUUAACUUGAAACAAUUUUAAACGAACUAAAAGUGUGUUAAGUAAAAAAACAUUAAAUAACGUUCUUUUUAAGAACAAAGAGUUUUAAUUCAAUUAAUGAUAUAAGAUCUUAUUAGUAAAAUAAAUGAACACAAAAAAAAUAUAUAUAUUAAAAGUAAACCAACAUAACAAAAAUAACUCAUCUUUUGGGGAAUCUAAUUAAGUUAUUUAAAGUUAGAGUUAAAUAAGAUUAGUCAACACGUAAUCAAAUCAUUAGAAGAGUACGAGAGAUAAUGAAAUUGGGCCCCUUCUUGGGCCAAUUUCGCUAUAUUUUUAAGCUUUAAUUCAAUUCCCGUUUUUGGUAUACAGCUGAUGUAUAUCAGUGUAUAUCGGCAUGUAUAUCAGCCCUUUUCAUGUAUUUCUUGCUUCCGAACAGCUGCAUUUUGUCUUAGCCCUGUAUUUUUCAUUUCUUGACCUGCAUAUCGACGUAUAUCUGCUGUAUAUCGUUGUAUAUUUGCCUUUUUUCCACCUGCGUUUUUGGCUUCUAGGAGCUCUAUUUCAGCUUCCAAACUUUAUAAAGGCCGACUCAAUAAACAAAAGAAGUGUUGGAUUUCAACCCAACUCGCAAAAUGGGAGUCCAAGCAACUCGAUCAAAGGAAUAUAUGCAAAAAAAAAGAUAAAGACGACAAGGAUUAGGAUAAGGAGGAGGGUCACAACAAUUCAAUAUUUUUUAGAAAAAAUAAAAUAAAAUUACAAACAUAUGGAGGCAAAAUAAUGAAUCCCAGAUUAUAAACCUGACAUAAUUUUAAGGUAAUAAAAUUAUUGUUGUAACUAGGUUCAAUAGUUAUGAGCAUAAUUAAAAAAAAUAAAAAAUAAAAAAAAAUGAAGUGCCGACAAAGUUACACUAAGACUAUAUGGUCAGACUUACUAAGAAUCGUAUUUGUGAAAAUUAAUCAUUGGAAAGGCAAUAACUCAAGUAAAGAAUUCAAUCAUAAAUCCAUAAAUAUUUUGACACAUUCUUAACAGCAAUUAUUGUGACAGAAUCCAAACUAUCACAACAUAUUAAUACAUAACUUAGCUAAGUUAAUCAUGUAAUAAUAUAAAAAUCUGAUUCCAAAGACCAAAGAGGCUUGACAAACACACAUUGAACCUUAAAUGGCUACAUGAACGACAUAUACACUUGAAGUUUAAAGCAUUUUCUAUGAAAAGUUUAUUAAUGCAAGCCAUAGAUAAACACACGUACUGGCAUGAGAGACCGAGAAGUUAAUUUGGGCCACUAUAAUUUUUUACAUCUCAAAGAAAUUUGAAGGCAAAAUGCAUUCAAUGAAUCAUGGCUACAAAUCACAAUCUGUAUUCUAAACUAUUUUCCACAUAGCCUACACUCAAUCUUGGGGACUCAAUGGCUUAACACACAUCAAUAUUUGAACUCUAAAAAAAGGGGGUAGAUAACAAUAGGCAACAUAUACACAAUCUACGCUUAACUAUACAAAACUGAGAACCUUCAUUGGAUUCCAAUAUCGAGGAGGCAUGUUUCAAACAACCCAAAAUCAGACCAAAAUAUACUCAACCGGUAGGCACAACAACAAAAAGAAAUUAAACAUAUAAAUGAGGCAGUAAACUAUUCCUUUCACAUUAUUUAUACUAGUGGAGGUGCAAAAAUAAAAAUCAGCCCACAACAUGAAGCAUACUACUUAUAGCGACUAAAAUUUAAAAUUUUAAACGGAACCACAAACCAUAGACAACAAGAGAAGGUUAUACAAUGGGAUAAGAAGGCAGUAAUACAAAAAAAAAUCAUAUCGACAUUAAAAUGGGAUCAACCAAACUUUGAACAAAAGAAAAUAAAAUUUUUUUUUAUUAACUGUCAAUCUACAAUAAGUCAAAAUACUCCCGAAAUACUGGCAUCCUAACAACUUAGAUGAUUGAGAAUCAAACGUCAAUGCAUUAAGAACAAAAGCUACUCGAAUCGAAAUGAGUAUUACCUUUUAGGGGGCAGCGAACUGAGACAAGAGCGAGCAGGGCAGCAACAAACUUCUUCCAACACCACAAAAUUUGAAUCUCGAGCAGCUAACUACGGAGUGCAAAUCGGACUCGCGCAAAGAUUUGCUCACAACUUAGGAUCAGAGAAAACGUAUGAUAUUUCUUAAAUAUAAGAAUGAUUGUUCUCUAACAAAUUUCCAAACCCAAAAUCUCUCUUUUUCAAAAGAAAUCCCCCCCAAACCCAAGACAAAGAUGGAUUUUAUAUAGGAGAAAAAUGAAUUCCAUUAGAGGGGAAACGGAUUAAAAAUUUCAAUUUCAAAUCCCUUUUUAUCCGGAAACAGUAGAAAGGAUGGGGUGAGUAUGGGCGCUGCAGGGUAGUUGAGCGAGAUUUCCAAGUUUGCAGCGCAAUUUGCUCGCUGAAUUUCGGUGUUCGCGUGAAGAAGAAGAGUAACAGGGUCGGGUACUGUUUUGGAGUGGGUUGAGGCGGCUGGAAGAGGCUUUUUGUAUUGUUAUGUAUGUAUUUGAUGUAUGGGAGUGUAUUAUUAUAUUGUUGCAUGUAUGGGUGGGCUGGGAAUAUUGUGGAGAAAAGGAAAUGGGCUGAGAAGUGGGAAUGUUAGGCCGGCUGAUUGCUGGAUAAAGGUAGAAAAGGGGCCCAAAACUUGGUCUUAAUAAGUUUAAGGUGGGGUAGAAAUGGGCUAGAAUUAUAAAAAGAAAAUGGCCAUUUGAAUUUCAACUUAUAGCCAAUUGGGAUUAAGAAAUAUAGCCAAUUUUGAAUUAAUUACUGAAAUCGGCUAAAAAUUAAAUAAGACGAAUUUAAUAUAAAUUAAUUAAUGAGCUUCUUAAUCUUAACGAAAACAAAAAUAAAUUAACUUAAUUAUAAACUAAUUAAUUCAAUUACAAAAACUAAUUAACUCAAAAUUACAACUAUAACUUAAAGCAAAUUAAUAAAAUAUUUAACUAAAAUGUAAAAUCUUUUGUGAUAAUUUUCAAAUAUUUAUAAAAUAGCGUGAUUGCAAAAAUAUACAUACUUAUUAUUAAAAAGUGAUAAAAUUAUUUUAUUUUUUUUUAAAAAUAACUUGAAAGUAUUUUGAAUUUCAUAAAAUUUAUUAAAUCAAAACUAUAACCAUUCCUAAUAUUUAAAAUAUAAUAAUAAUAAUAAUUAUUAUUAUUUUAUUUUAUUUUUGACGAUUUUCGAAUAAUCAUAAAAUAUACUAAUUAUAUACAUAAUUAUGUAAAACAUGUACAUCAUCUAAAAUUUAUGAAAAGUGACAAAACUAUUACAAAAAAUCUUGCAAACUAUAUUAUUAUUUUUUUUGGAAACUUUAUAAACCUAAUUAUUUUAAAUCGUUUGAAAUUGGAGAAGCUCGAAAUGAUUAAUUUAUAUUGUGGAGGGUCAAAAGUGGGUGUCAACAAAUACUAUAAAGUAUAUAUUAUGGUAUCAUUAAGGCUUCAUGUUCAAAAAUUACUCAUUACUCAUUAGUCAAUGAUACUAUAAGAGUAUAUAUAUACUCUUAUAGUAUCAUCGACUAAUGAGUAACUUUUGAACAAGAAACCUUAAUGAUACCAAUAAUAUAUAUAUAUAUAUAUAUUGAUUUAGUAUCAAUCAAGCAAAAUUAUCAGUCUUAAUGAUAUCGAUACAGUAUAUGAUACUGAUUUAUUAUCAGUUAAGCGAAACUAUCAUUCUUAAUGACACCAAUACAAUAUAUGAUACUGAUUUAGUAUCAGUUUAGCGAAAUUAGUUGGGGGUAUAUAGUGUAAUUAUUUAGUGGGGUAUGAAUGUAACGAGGUAUAUGUUUGUAAUUGUUUUGCUUUUAUGGGGUAUUUCCUUAGUUUCCCCAAUUAGUACUUCCUUCGUCCUUUUUAACUUGUCAAAUUUUGACUUGACACACCUAUUAAAAAAAUAUUGAUUGGUAAAGUGAGUUUACCAUUGGAAAAAAUUCGCGAAUAAGCUUAUAUAUACUAGUUAAUUACUUAACAUAGCUAUAGUUUGUCUUAAUUACAAUUCACGACCUACUUUUAGCUAUAAUUACGCGGCUCAAUUUUUUAGUUUUAUAUAAUUUGCACAUUUGUAUAAUUCAAAAUUUGUAUAAUAUAAUUUGUAUAACUUUUGUAUAAUUGUUUACAUUUUUUAUGUUUGUAAUUGUAUAAAUUAAUUAUUACAAGUUUAUACAAAGUAAACUGAAUUAUACAAAUGUACCCGCGAAUUAUACAAACCAGCGAAUUAUACAAAUCUGUGAAUUAUACUAGCGAGACAACUUAAACUGUAGCUACAACCCAUAAAUAUGCAAACUAUAGUUAUGGUGCAUAAUUAAGUUUAUUAUAGUGACUAUUUGCGAAAGUUCCUCUUUAUCAUUUACUACUAUUAAUUGAUAGGGUCCUAAAUAAAUUGAAGGUAUAAUUGAAAAAAAUAAAUUCUCCUUUCUUAUUUGUCAAAAUGACGAAUAAAAAGGUAUAUCAAAUCAGGAAAUAUUGACAAGUAAAAAAAGGAAUGGUGGGAGUAGUUGUAGAUUAUGAUUUACUUUACUCAUUCAUAUGUCUUUAUGAAAGUUCCCCUUCUCUUCUUUUGUUUAUUUUUUUAAAAAAAGUUAAAGCUUCUAGAAAAUUUUCAGUGCUACCUUGCAAGUUGCAUGGAACUAGAAAAAGAGAAUAAAAGAAUUAUAAUGGCUCCAGUUAAUUAAUUCCUUUAAUUAUGGAGAUCUUUUUGUGUCGAGGGGCUGCAUCUUUCUAACUAACUAAAUAUUUUUUUUGAUAUUUAAUAGGGGGCCUGGCAAUUGGCAUCAUGACUUAACGCACUGUUAUUUUGAUAGAUAUUUAUUUGCACUAGGAAAAAACUAAAUCAAAUUAACAAAUUAUGAUUAAAUAAUUUAAUAUUUUGAGAAUACAUACUAAUUGAUCAUUGUUAAAUAAUGUAAGUCUACGCAUAUGCGAACACAUCGAAUUCUUCUUUUGGAAUAUUAAUAUCGAUAAUCGGGUGCAAUUAAGAUUUUAUCAUAUUAUUAUUAUUACGCAAGAUUAAAAAGAUUCGAAAAGAUAUUUCAGUAUAUUUUUUCUUUAAGAAUUUUGUCAAAUUUUUGUUUCUUUUAUCGACAAUUUGACUAUAAGAUGAUGGCCCCGCUGAAUAUUUCUGAUACAAGUAAUAAAAAGGUCAAACACUCAAAUUAUUAUUAAUUGGCCGGUAGAGAAUCAAGACAGCCCAUGUUACCUUUUAUCGGUUGAAUAAUAAUGUACUCCAGUAAUCAAUUUGCAGGUAUAGUGUGACAAUAGUUUUUUGUUUAUUUAUUUUUAUAUAUAAUCUAAAACAUAUUUAGUGAUAAUUGAAUUAAUGUCAUUAUAUUUAAAGUUCUUAAAGCUUUUAGCGAUAUAUAAAGAAUGUUCUUUAUAAACAUUAUAUUUAUUAUUAUUAUUAAAUGUAAAAUAAUUAUAUUAUUAUCGUUAAAUAAUUAGAAAAUUCUUUAUUUGUUAUAGUGGACUAAUAACCAAAUUUAGUAAUUACCAGUUUACAUCUAGCAAGCAACAACUUUUGGUCAUAUUUAUAAGUAAUAUAUAAAUAAUAGUGUAAAUCAUAGGCAGAUAAGUAUUUACCCAAGAAACAACUUUCGGUCAUAUUUAUUAGUAAUAUAUUGACAUAUUUAUAAAUAAUAAAUAUCGUAAAUUACGAGAAAAAUCAUUAUAAUAGAGUUAAAAAUAUGAAGGAAGUCUCUUAAAUUAUCUCAAAAACUAAUUAUAGUCUGUAAGUAGUUGUAUAUAUGGAUAAUAUAAAGAGCAGCUUUCACAUAUAGCAAAUACAAAAAUCAUAUUUGUAUGUUAUAACUAUAGUUUGCAUAAUUGCGCUCCAUAACAAACAAUAAAUGUGUAUAUUUCACUAUACAUAUACAAAAGAAAGCAGUUGUAUAUAAUCUAUUUCUGUUUCGGUAUACAUAUACAAAAGAUCAAUUGUAUAAUCUUUGUUUGUAUAAAGCUAGAAAGAGAGAAAUGCAAAAGAGAACUGGGCAGAGAAAUAUUUGUAUUGUAUAAUUAUAAGUGUAUAGGGCAAAUAUAUAUGUAUUUGCAUGUGUAUAUACAAAUUUAUCUCGUUUUAUACAAACAGAAACACAAUUUAUACAUUUUUGUUUGUAUAAGCGAGAGAGGCUAGGGAGAGACUGGCGAGCGAGAUCUGGGAGAGGGGAGAGAGGGGAACGAAAAUAUAUGUAUAUAUACAAUUUUCUCUCGCUUUAUACAAACACAAAUGCAUUUUAUAAAUUUGUGUUUGUAUAACAAGCGAGAGAGGCGAGGGAGAGAACGAGAAAGGCGAGCGAGAUUUACCAUAAGAGAGGCGAAAUAACAACAGUUUGCUAUGGGGUAUAAUUAAAUCAAACUAUGUUUAUAGCAUUUAAUUUGAAUUAAUAGUUUGAUAUUAUAUACAAUUUCCCCUAAUAUAAAAGCAAAAUAAAUUAAAAGGGAUUAACCUGAGGCCUUGCGUUAUUAGUAUUAUACUACUUUAUUCUUUUAAAUAUUCGUUAUAUUUUUUUUUUAUCUUUUCACCAUUUUUUAGGAUCAUAAAAUUUAAAAGUCUUUUUUAUAUUUUUUGAAAUUCAUGAUAAAUCAAAAAUGGAGGUUGAACCUGGAACUGCCACAUAACUACCUACAAUUUUUUCUUAUAUUAAAUGAUGAACCAGUCACAGCUAUAGAUUCUCUAGCAAGUCUGUUAUGUCCCUUAUAAUUCUCUGUUUGGUUUAAGAGGUGAUAUUUUUUAAGUUUCAUGAACCGAUUAGGAUAAUGUAUUAUAAACUUUAUAUAUAACCAGUAACGUAGCAAUUAUUUGAUGCAAAUGAUUGAACAUUACUUAGCAGCUGUCUGUAAUCAGGAAUAAUUUUACUGUCUUUGUGACUCUGUCCUAAUUUAUAGAAUUUAAGGAAUUAAACAGUUUAAUUUCAGUACUGAAUUAAGAUAUAAAAUCUUAAAUUUUUUAUUGUUCAUUGCUUCUACUUAAAAUAAACAAGUCACACACAAAGCAAAUCUAAUUAAUCGCAAUUCACAAGGGAAGUACCUAACUUUGUCUUUUCACAUCGGCCAAACAUUAAUAAGAUCAUGCAAAUUAAAGAGGCAAACAUAUAGCUACCCUACCAAAUAUUAUCGUACCCAAUUGAUGUGUUGUUUGAUUGAUACAAAAAAUUUAAAAGAUCUUUUUUUUAAUAAUAGAAAUCAUUCUCUUCUAGUUAAAUAACAAAAUUAGAAAUUUUAAAAUCAGAAUAUUUUUUAAAUAUAAUAAUCGAUUAAAAAAACUAUUUAUCAAUCGAUUAAAUAAAAAUAUGUCACGUAAAUAAAUUGGAGCUGAUAAAACCAAAAUUAUGUCACCAGUUGCUAGGUCCAUCUAAAGUGUUAGUUUAAAGUCAGACACUUGCCCUAUUUUUAUUUUUUUUAUUUUUUUGUUUUCUUUUCAAAAUCUUGGAGUUUGGCAAAUCUAAAUUGUGGAAUAAAGUCUGUUUAGUUUUUUUUUUUCUCAUGAUUCAAAAUCAAAUACUCUAAUUAAGAAAGAAACAAUAUUAUUAUCUCCUGAUGAACAUUUUAUUAAAAAUAUUUGUCUCAUAUUACUUAAUCACUUGCUAAAUCAAGAUAGGCUUUCCAUUCUACCCCUACAAUUAAUAGUAUUAGGAAGUUUAAACUUUAAACAAAUUUUGAAGAUCUAAGAAUUUCUUUUUUCAAGAGGCUAACGAAUAUGAACAAAGGGCAAAAUAGUAAAGUUGAUAAAUCUAUUAAUGAUUUCUUAAUUAUCAUGUAAAAUAUAAAGUGUCCAUCUAAUAUGGGAUGGAGGGGUAUUCAAUACACCACAUUUUUAUGAUAGUCCAUUAGUUUAGUUACUAGUUUUAUAUAAGUUGACCACCUUAUUAAAAACACAUGUCCCAAAUUAUUUAUCCACUUACUAAAUCAAAUAAAAUUAAUAAAAACAAAUCAUUUUACUUCUAUAUAAAAUAAAAUUUAAAAAAUAUCCCCUCGUUCACUUUUAUUUGUCACUGUUUGACUUGACAUAUCUAUUAAAAAAACAAUUAUUGAUAUUGGUAUUAUACCAAACUAUCCUUAUUAAAUGAUAUUUAUUAUUAAGUCUUGAAAAAUGAUUUGGAGAAUUAGUAUUUAAUGCUGUGAGUAAAAUAUGAAAAAGUAUAAUUAUCUUUUCUUGAUAUGUUAAAAGUGAUAAAUAAAAAUGAAAAUCUAUUUUAAGAGUAAGUGAAUGAGAGUAAUUAAAUACUUUGUAUCUAUUUUGAUGAUUCUAUUCGUAAGCGUUAUGUUGUUAAGAAAUUAUGCUGAUAUUUUUAUCAAUAUAGAUGAAGAAUAAAUUAAUAAAUCAACUAUGGUGUAAAUAUAAAAUGAAUCAUUUCAUAUGAGAGGACGGAGUAUAAGUUACAAGAAACAAAGAGUGCAUCCUCCAAUAGGGACAGCUUUUAGUGCAAUCCGUUUACCCGAACAUAUCGAUGUUAAAAUACAUAUAUGACUUUAUUAUUCCAAUUUAAUAAAAUUCCACUACAUUACAAGAGCAAAACCUAGUGGCAGCCUGCAGUUUUGCGUUAUGCCAUAGUUUACAAGGAUUUACAGUAAAUCAAUUGGACAUAUCCUACUAAAAAAAUAUUAAAUUCAUAACACUACGAUUUUUUUUUUGAUUAAUUAUAAUCACUUGAUUAGUUACUACUAUUUGCAAUGUCAUUUUUUUUUUAAUCAUGAACCUUUUAUAGAUUUUUUUAAAGAAAAAAUCCAAAAUACACUAUAAUGGAUGAUGGAGUUUUAGAAUAUGUUAGUUUGCUUUAAAAAAAAUCGAUUUUUAUGCUUGAAUUUACAUCAAAUAUUAUUAAUUUAACCCUCAUCUGAAUCAAUCCCCAAUGAAUGUAAAUCCACAAAAAAUUGAACAGAGGGAGUAUUAUAUAAGUUUUUCUUUGCAGAGUGUUUUCUUUCAUUUAUUGGUUAAAGAAGAAAUUAUCAGCCUUUUGCUUUGUCAAGGAUUUAAAGAUUAGUUUUUUUUAAAAAAAAAUAAAAAUCCAAAUUAUAAAAAUGGAAAUAUGUAAAAGUAUGGAGGUUCCAAUCUUAGGCAUAAUUAUCGACGAAAAUGCUUAUUGAGCAAUUUUUUUAAAAUUAAAGAGCUCGGAUCGAAUCAAUAUUGUUAUCGGAGGGCUUGUGGCCUCUCUUUAUUUUAUUUUUUGGUAGUAUAUAUAAUAGAAGUUAGAAGAGAGAGAAAUUGUAGAGUAGUGGAAUUCUGAGAUUUGAAAUUCAUGUUAGUAUUAAGUUAUAAUAAUCAGCAUAUACAAAGUAGAAACUCUAAUCAGAUAACAGUAAACAUAGCAAAUCUAGCUAAUUUUCUUCUUUUUGUUUUUUUCUUUUUCCGUUUUAAAAAUCUCUUUCCCACUAUGCCUCACAAAAAUAUACAACAGGCUUUGAAUGACGGAGAGAGCUACCAGCACUGAUCUGUUUCCCAGUUCCUGGUAGUAUAGCCGGUGAAUCCCGACAUUGCUGAAGGAGAACAGCCGCCGGAGUACAAAUUGACACUCCGGCGCCUUCUGAGUAGGCGGCGGUCAUAAUCGGCACGUUUGUCCCGGAUCCGACAAAGUAGAAUAGGCAGAAUGAAUCUUCAUGAAAUCGUCCGCCGACGUGUCCUUCUGAUCAAUUGCCGCCACAUCAGGAUGGCAAACUCUAGCUAAUCUCCGAUAAGCUGCCUUGAUCUCCUGGAUCGUAGCGCCGAUCGGAAUCCCUAGAAUCUCGUAGAAAGACGCCGGAGAAGCAUGGACAAGGUUAGAAGGCAGCGUCGAGUACCUUGAAGCCGAUGACGUGGUAGAUUCAGUUUCGACGGAAGCACAGGUCGCCGCUGCGGCGGUCGUGAAGAUACCGGACUGACGGAAUCUGACGGAAGACGGUGAUAGAACAGAAUUGUCGCCGGAGGAAAAUAUAUUCACCGGCGGUGGCGGAGUUUGAAGAAACGAACGAGGGGAAGUAGAUAGCAUGGGCAUGUUUAGUUUUUUUUUUUUUGUGGAGUGUAAUGAGUCAGAGAAGGCGAAGGGGCUAAAGUUAUAUAGAAGAAUGGGAUGAAGUUUUAACUGUGCUGUGGCCAAAAAGAGUAACUGAAAUGUGAAAAGUUGGGGGGACCAAAAAGAAAAGUAAAUAAUGGAGGGGGCCAAUGUGUAAUUAUGUGGACAAAGAAGUUAUGGAAGGAAGGCUUAUCCGUUUUAUGUAUUUGGUGAGUCAGCACUUCUGCUUAUCCGAUUCAUCAAUUCAGUGAGUUCUCAGUUUGAUGUCAGUAUCCACAUAUUAGGUUUUUGUCUCGUUUGAAGGGUUAAGAUGAAUUUAAAAGUAUUAGAGUAAAAUAAAAUAAAUAAAUAAAUACAUAAUAUUUAAUUAAAUAUUUUUUUAAUCAUAUUUACUAAGUAUAUUUUAUACUCCCUCCGUCCACAAUUGUUUGGCAGGUAUACUAAAAAUAGAUGUCCAAGAUUAAUUGUUAAUUUAAACAAUCAAGAAAUAAUUAGUCACUUUUUUCCAAUUCUGCCCUUAAUGAUAAUGUAGUUCAAUUGAAAAGUUACGUGGACUUUUGGUAUUCUUGGUAUAGUAGGGUUAUAUUAGUCAAAUUACACCUUGUACUUGGUGUGCAUGACCUUACCCUGACAAAUAAUUGUGGACGGAGGGAGUAGUAAUUAUAUGAGUAUUAUUUCUUUCUCUCUCUCCUCUCCUCUCUCUAGCUCUCUUACUCUCUCCCCUUUUUUGUUCAAUGGUGAUGAUAUUUACAGGCAAUGAAUGAACAUCCUUGUAUAUUUUGACAUCGAAUAUAUAGGAUGAAGUUAAUAUUAAAUACACUUAAUUGAAUUUAAUUUUGAAUAUGUUGAUACAUAAAAUGGUGACGAGAGAAGAAGAGAGGCGAUUCAUAUAAGAGAGAUACAUUUAUGAGAUACAGUGUAUCUAGAAGUAAAUACUAAAGAUAAUUCAAAUAAAAUUUAUAAUUAUUAAAACUGUCUGCAUUGAAACAUUAUUUUCUGUUUCUUGAAAAUGUUUUGGUUUGAUAGUAUUUAAAUUUUUUAUUUUUUGCCAAACAGGGUUAAGCUUGUGACUUUGAGGGUCGUUAUCGAAAAUAUCAAAGAAGAAAGUAACAAAGAAAAAAUAUAUAGUGUAUUAAUUAAAGGAAAUCUUAAAAUUGGAAUGGUUGUAAACCGCUGAAACGGAAGCGGGCCCACACUCUUUAGCUGACCACAAGACAUCAAUUAUCAUUUUCCACCGCCGCUCACGUCAAUUAAUUCAUAAACAUUAACGUUAUUUUAUUUUUUAACUCUAGUUGUGAUAUACUCUUAUUCAUCAACACUACAUACUGCAAUUAAGCUUUUCAUCUAUAAUUCAAGGACAAAAUGAAUCAUCGAUUAAAUGCUCUAACCAGUAAUCAUGGGAUACACAAAUCAUAAAAAUGCAUAAUUUCUCCUCAAAAACUUAAUUAAUACUUGAUUGGAACGAUGUGGUUUGAAUAAUUUAAUAAAGACCAUAAUUUAAUUUGACAAUAAAAGGUGUGUUUUUGAUCACACACAUUUCAACAGUAAUGCUUUCUCCGUUCAAUAAUAGUUGUCCACUAUAUUAAAAAUAGUUUAGAAGAUAAAGAGAUAAUUUACAUUUUAUGUCUAUUUUAUCCUUGCUAUUAAAUACUAUUUAUCAUCUAACACAUUUCUCAAAUCAUUAAAUUUAAUAAAGUCAAAGGAUAAAAUAGUUUUUUCGAGAAACAAAGUGAAAUAUUGACAGUGACAAUUGGUAAAUUGAACCUAACAAAAAUUGUCAUGGAGUAAGAAGUAAUUAUUUAUCCUUAACCAUAUCACUUACCAUUGAUAAUCUUGUGUGUCUACCUUGUAUGCAUGAUGGGUUUAAGUUUUAUGUAUUAUUCUUGUAAAAAUAUUCACGCAAUUUAGUUAUAAGUUACAAUAUUUUAAUUUUUUAAUAAAUAUUAAUUGAUAAUUUGAUUUUAAAAUAAUAUCAAUAUGCUAUUAUAAAUCAAUAUUUACCAAUAGUAUAAAGUCUUUAAUUUACACUAUUAAUGAUGAUAAUAAUAUAUAUAGCUUAAAUCCUUGGCUUCUCAACACAUGAUGGUUCAGUUAUUGACUUAUAUUGCAGCUCCCAUGUGAUUAACCAAUAAUUCAUCACUUUAAGAAGAUUAUCUCUAAAAUAAUACAAUACUAAGUGAUGUCCCAAACGGUACGCCACUUAAGAAAAUUAUGUUUAAAGAUAAGAGUGAUCCAUAUCUCUAUCAAACCAUAGUGGACAUAGACAACUACUCUUAUUGUUAUCUAGUGUCUGCUAAUUCAUAGCAAAGAGUUCUAUUCUAUCAAUCAAUUAUAAAACAUCUUUGAAAAAAUCAAACAAGAUAAAUUAUACCACAAAUUUUAAAAAAUAAAGAACAAAUUUUGAAACUAUCAAUUAUUUAUGCAUGCAUUAAUUUGUGAUCACCAUUUGUUUCCAGAAAACCUGUCAAAAUCAUCUCAUGGAAAAAAAUGGUUCUAGAUAUGGACAACACAUGCAAGCACCAAAAAAAGAAGAAUUAAAAGUCAUACUAUGCUUGCAACUAUUAGCUAAUUGAUGAUGCAUCUUCCAAUGAAAUUGAAUAGACCAUUUUUGUAAUAUUUAAAGGACUUUUUUUUGCAUACUAUCGAUCAACUUGGAUGGAGAGUUAUAAAUAUAUUUUUUCCACUCACAAAGUAAUAAAAUAAAUUUUAAGUGGAGUAUAUACCCAAACGCAAUUUGAACUUCCUAAUGUCAUUUAUUAACUUCAACUUGAAAUAUUUUUUCUUGCCUUUCAUAUAUUACUCAAAUUCAUGUCCACUAUGAUAAAAAUAGCUUUUAACGGUAAAAAAUAUGUACAUUAUUAAAAGUGAUAAUGUCUUUAACGACAUUAGUUAAUUGUCAUUUCAAUGUCGCGCUAUAAUCUUUAGAGACAUUUACAAAGAGUGUUAAUUGCUAUCAAAAAAUAUAUUUAGCAGCAAUUUAACUAUUACCUUUAAUUAAUUGCCUCUAAAGAUCAUUUUUGAUGUGGUGUUCAAACACCCGUUUAUUGAUUACUUUACAAGCUUUUUUAAUUUAAUUUAUUUUUAUAUUCCAGAUACAAUUUCAUACAAAAUUGUACAUACAUCUCAGAUAACGUAUGCAAGUAUUAACAAUGUGCAAGUAUUAGCAAUGUAAUAAAUUACUUAAUAAAGUACUAUAUUGAAUUAUGUGAUGAUGAUGUCUUCUUAUACCACUAACUAAACAUUUACAUAAUAUUAACUUUAUGUUACGAUUAUAUCUUUUUGUUCAAUAAACUAAUAAACAAUAUUGUAGAUUAAAAACAUAAAAUAAUGAUAAGUUAAUAACCAAGGUAUAGUAAUAAUGUGCUUUACGAGGUCCCAAGAGUCACACAACAAAGAGUUUGGUGUUUCUUGAAUUACUAAUGAGGGAUCGUUUUCUUCUAUGCUAAACUUGUGUUUCCUUAAUUUGACCCCACUUCAUAUUGUUUCUCUAUUAUGGUGUCUCAUUAAUUCUCUUCUCUUUCAUAUUCGAUUUAUGUUCUAAUUAUAACCAUAGACAAUUACAAAGUUAUUAAAUUUAUUUUCAUAACAUGACAUUAUCUUCUCACAUUAUCAAAAGUCACUUUACCAAUAAGUGUCUCCUAAUCUCUAAAAAGUAGUACUUUACAAGAUAAAUGGAUAAAGUUAGAGGUAUGUACCCUCCAUCUUUUCAGACCCCCACUUAUGAAUAUAUUGUUGUACCUUACAGCCUAGCCCAAAACACACAUGUGACAUACUUUGCGUUUUCAACAAAGAUGUCAUAUUUAAAAAUAAAUAAAUGUGUCCCUUUAACAUUUUAAAUUGUUAGAUGAUAUGAUCGCACACUUCAACAUAGAUAUUAGAGUAGGCAACUAAAGCAAAGCAGUAAUAAUGGGACGACAAGCUUCAAAGUUCAUCAAAAACAUAAAUAAAUUGAGUUGAAGAAUUCAACAAUCAGUCCCUUUAAAUCAAAAUCUUCAGAUUUUUUAUAUAUAUUUCAAUGGCAACUAAUUAGGAAUAAGGAGACGGAGAAAGUGUUUGUACCCUUUUUUUUCUUUAUAGAUAUGAUGAUACAAAAUGUAAUAUACUUGUUAUGUUUGAUAAAUAAAAAAAUACACAUAUAUAUAUUCAUUCAGUAAUAUAGAUCGAGUCUUAUUUAAUAAGGAGGAUUAAAAAUUUGUUUUGGAUAUUUGUGUGAGUGGGAUACCAAUAUUUGCAUCAGUGAUCCAUAUAUAAAUGAAUAUAUAUGCUCGAAACGCCCACAGACUUAGAAAUUAGCUUAUUGAUUAUAAUAACAUCAUCAUUUUAUUUUAGUAAUAUAUUCCAAAAGCAUGAUGGACAGUUAUAUAGACGUCUACUGUCCGCUGAUUCACCGGCCCAAGACUAUUCUUCAGUGACAUUUAUAUUUAUAUAUACUAUAAGUAUUAAUCAAAUGACUCAGAAACCACAUAUUAAGAGGGGAAGAAAAGAAUAUUCAAUGUUUCCAGAAAAUAUGUCAAAUCAGCUCAAGGACAAAAGGUUCUAGAAUCCAUGGGGACAUUUUAAGGCAGAAGUAGUGUCACCAGGCAGCUUUCCUGCUCUUCUUUUUCUUAAAAUUUCUUCUCUAAUGUCAACAAUCUUCCCCUUGUAAUCCAAGAAAACCCAAAAAAAAAAAAAAAAAAAGUAACACACUAUAGGCCAAAUUGAUGAAGCAACUUACAGUGAAAAUAGACCAUUUUGUAAUAUUUUAUAACGACUUAUUGUUGCCAAUAUGUUGAGUUACGGUGAAAGUAUAAAUAAUAAAUCACCGGCCCAUUACAAAAUUAAUCGAAGGUCAAUACCAGCUCUAAUAAUAUGCUUUACAAUAUCCCAAGAGUCAUUUCAUAACGAAUACCUCACUUAAAUUUAACACUCCUUUUUUCUGUUUUCUUCGGAUAAAUAUUCUUUCUGUUCCUAAAUAUUUGUUAUUUUUAAUAAAAAAUAAAUUAUUCAAAAUAUUUGUUAAAAAUCUCUAUUUGUUAUUAAAAGAAAUUAAGACAUAAUUAAUUAUUGAAUAUCAAUGUAAUGCAAAAAAAAUACUUAUAUCUUAAAUUAAUUUAGUCAAAUUACUUCCUACUUAUUGUUUUCUUCUAGAGCUUUCAGCCUGACAUACUAAACUUGUAUUUCUCUAAUUUGGCCCUACAUCUAUCGUAAGUAUCUGUUUCUUUUUUAUUACUCCUUUUUUUUUUUUUCAAAAUUUGAUUUGAAAUCUUAUUGAAAAAUAUUCCCUGUUCAAAGAAAUCGUAUCUAAAUACAUAACUUAUUUUACUAUAUUCUAUCAAAUUUCCUAUCAAUUGAAAUUUUUUACUAAAAUUUCUAUUCUCUCCUAUUCUUGAAUACAUCAUUGUACACGAUGCAUGUAUCGAUCAAAUACAUCACUAUAUGCACUGUAUCAGGACGUAAUACAUCACUUUACACGAUAUAUCAAUCGAAUACAUCACUAUAUACAUAAUGUAUCAGGACGUAUGCGUUGUAUUGGGACGUUGAGUAAUGUAUUUGAAUUCCACCUAAUUUAAGAGAUUUUUGUAAUUUAGAAAAUAGAAGAAAUAUGAUGUAAUUAGGUCUUAACACUAUGAAAUUUGUGUAAUUUCCUUAAAAAUAAUAUCAAUCUAUUCUAACAUGUUAUGUUCCAAAUUAUUUAAGAAUCAAUUAUAAGUCAGUGUAAGAAUAUACUUCUUCCGUUUCAAAAUACUCAAGUUUUUGAACGGUAGGGGCAUUAAUGUCCCAAAAAUAUGAUGGAGAGUAUCUGCAUAUCAUUUACGAUAAUUUGGGGAUAUAUUUAUCUUUUUUCCCUUUUGAGAAUCAAACUAUACAAAAUUUGACUAAUUUUAAGAUAUAUAUUUUUCAUCGUAUUGAUAGGAGAAAAUUGUAAUUUGCAGUACUUUUAAUACAAUUUUUGAAUAUAUAAAUUUUAAUUUUAAAAUUAAUCAAAUUGAAAAUGAAAUGUGACAAAUAUUUUAGGCCUAAUCCAUCAGUGGCCCCUUAAAGUUGGCACAAUGUUUUACUUAAACACCCUAACUGAACGAUGUUCAUUUUAGACAUCUUAUGUAAGAUCCCGCUGUGUCAUUUUGACACCUUGUUUAAUAUCAACAAAAACAUAUAAUGUGUGUGUAUUACCCUGGCGAAUGAUGUAUAAAGUGACGAAUUAAACCAUGACAUUUGUCAUUUAUGUCAAAGUAAUUUUUAAAUAAUUAAUAUUGAAUAAAAAUAAAAACUGACCAAUAAACUAAUGACAUGAAUAUUUUUUCCCAAAAUAAUUUAAAAAUAAAAUAAACUCCCCAAAUAAUAACAAAAUAAAACAAAAUUUAAACUAACCCCACAACCCCAAAUCACCUGCCCCCAAAUCCCCACCCCAUCGUCUUCUCCAACCCCCCCACCCCCAAACCCGAUCGCCUUCUGCAACCACCUCGCGCUUUCUCCUCCAAAUAUCCGACUCCUUUUUGCAGAACGUUGUGCAACCAGUUGAUAUUUUUUUUUUUUGAUCUUCAAAUAAAUCCCCGGCGCAAAGAAUUUAAUGAAUGAGUUUAUUAAAUUCUUAAAUUUUUUUUAAAAAAAAUCCAUCUUUUUUGUUGAAACCUUCAUUUACAAUGGGUGGAUUUAACUUGAGCAAAAUGGUGGCUGAAAAUGGAGAAGAAGAAAAAUAUAAUUAAAAAUUAACUAAAUAAUCACUUCACGCGCCUAUCAAUGAGUGUGAUAAAAAAGUGUCAAAAUGACAAUGUGAAAUUCUAUUUGAAGUGUCUAAAAUGAAUAUCGCUCAGGAAAGGUGUCUAAGUGAAAUGUUGUGUCAACUUUAAGGGUCAUCGAUGAAUUAGGCCAAUAUUAUAACAUGGAUGGGAUAUUAUGAAAAACAAGUUCAAGGAUAUUUGUUAUAAAGUUGAAUCCUUCAGUAAAAUAUCAUAGAGGUGCGCCAUUAGCUCUUAAUAUCCUCACUAUCUAUCUCAUAUACUUAAUAUAAAUAUAAAUAGGCAAAAUGGUCUGGUAGACCUUGUAUCAAUUUCUAUUGCGAACCCUUCUACUUAUUCAUUUGUCAACUAAACCCUAUACUCCAUAAAACAUAAUAUAUCAAACCCUCUGAUCAUUGACUAGUCUUAUGUGGCAUUAAUAUGAUUGAGUUGGCACAAAAGCGUGGCUACACGCGUUAAAGGGGCAAGUGAAGAUCAGACUUACAUCAAAAAAAUAUUAAAAUUAUAAAAUAAUUGAUUUUGUAAAUGAAAAAUAAAAUAAAAUAAAUAUUUUACUUCUUCUCCCCCACCACACUUCUUUUCUAGCAAUCAUCCCCUUUUCCCAUCAACCCCACACACCAUCCACGCUCCAACCUCCAUUUUCCUUCUUCAUACUUAAUGUCAUUGUCCAAUUUAUUCUCUCCUCUAUCUAUUGCUAGUGAUUCCAGUGACUAUUACAACUAGUUUCUAGGGGGUUUUGGGCAUUAUUUUGUUGUUAGUUGUACAGUUUUGAGAUUCAAGAUUUUAUUUUUAAGACUUCCAUUCUCAAUGUCCCUUUUCUUAGGUUGUUGUUUUUGUGGAUGUUGGAGGAUGAAAGAAAAAUAGUGAUGGUGUGCGGCGGAGAUGAAGAUGGGUGAGGGAGAAAGUAUAUGUGAUUUUGCCGGCAAAAAUGGCGACGACGGUGGCGAUGGCUUUCUCCGCUGGAUUUUGGUCCUGAAACAGUGAUAAUAGGGAGAAUUGGAUGUAUGAAAUUUCACUUUAAAAAAUGCCAAAAUAUUAUUUUACAUUUUAUUAAAUAAUUUUGGUUAAUAAUUUUAAAAAAUAGUUAUGAAAUAAUUAUGAUAUGACAUUGAUAUAUCUGACAUGUCAAUUAUAUAAAGGAGAGUGAGCUACACACAUGAUUGGAGGGACUUAAAAAUCUCAAUUUAAUUGAGUUUAAGGGUCCAGAUGACAAAUGAGUAAAUAGAAGAAUACAAACUAAUACAAGUACAAGGGUUCACCAGACCAUUUCGCCAUAUAAAUAUAAAUAAUGAUCCACUUUGAUUUGCUUGAAGUUCAAGUGUUCGAUAAUUUAUAUAUAUUUUGGGCGAGCGUCGAAGAACAACUAGUGUUGAUCAGAAUAAUAGUUUAUUGAAUUAGAUAUUUCGAAAAUAGUUGUCGUGUGAUCGUUUUAGGAAAACCAAGGUCAUUUUUUUACUGGAUAUAAAUUGUAUUUGUGCUAUAUAAUUUAACUUCGUAGUUCAGAACAAAUGGCCCAUUAGCUCAGUUGGUUAGAGCGUCGUGCUAAUAACGCGAAGGUCGCAGGUUCGAGACCUGCAUGGGCCAAAUUUUUUUAUUACUUCACAACAUCUUCUAAUUGGUUAUAGGCCAAAGAAUUACACAUCCACUAUAAGGUAUCGAUAGGUCAAUAAUAUAUCGAAAAGUAAAAUUAGACAUUGAUAUCUCGAUUGAUGUUCUUCUAGAUAUGAUGGUAUCCUCAGAGUUAUAUAUAUUGAUUCUUGACAAGAUAAUUUGUUUUACAUAAUGACAAGCUGGUUGAAAAAUAUUGACACGCUUAUAAAAAAGGUGAUACCAACUGACCUAUAACAUUAAGUCCUGGUGAUACAUGUAUAUUUUUAUCAUUGAUCAUAUAAUCUAUAGUGACGUUGUAUUACAUACAUACUCAAAGGGAACCCCAGAAAAACUCACAAAGAAUGUACAUUUAAAACGACCAGAUUAUGAACAUUAAUUGCUGCUGGUUGUUUAGGAGAAAGCAACUUCAUGCCAAAUGCUUUUCUGGCAAACUCUGCAGGAGCCGGAGGGGCGCUGGCUACACAAGGCCAAAUGUCUCUAAUCUCAUUCAUUUUAGCGACAGAAUUGCAGCACAUGAGAACAUGUAAAUGAACGUGAUUUUCCAACAAAAUUUUCUCAUGGAUAACUUUCACAUCUCUUAAACACUCUGACUAGAUUUUCCGAGAGCCUCUGACUGUAGGACUAGUCACCAUUCGUGAACUUAUACUUGCAGUUCUUAGAAGCCUGCGGAAUUCUGACAAGCUUAUCUUUCCAUCUUUGUCGAUAUCUGCUUCUUCUAGCAGUGGGUCUAUGGAGCCUUUUAAGCCGGUAUGCUGCAUACAAGUAAAAGCCAGAUAUGAGUAUUUUUAGAAUUUUGGGGCUACCAACGAAUCCACAGUCUCAACUCUUAGUAUUUCUUUUCUACUCGUCUUUUGGUUUUAUCUUUGCAGAGUUGCGGAACAGGACAGGGUUAAAAUUUCUAGAAAGCUAGCAUUUAUAUAUAUAUAUAUAUAUACACAACAGUGUUGAUCACUUGAAGAAGAAAAUACGACAUACUAACCAUUCUAAGUUCCUCUGGAGUUAUGAAUCCAUCUCUAUCAACAUCAAAUUUCUCAAAAGCAGUUUGCGAUCUUUGCUGCCAUUUUAACAAAUUAUGCUCCUCUAACUGAUGUACAUGUAGAGUCGCUGCAACAAACUCCGGGAAAUCAACAAGCCCGUCUGUGUUACUAUCAAUCUGAAAAAUCAAUGAACAAAAUGCUUCAGGAUUUUGAACUACAAGGAGAAAAAACUGUAGGAAAUGCAGUAUACAUAGGCAGAAAAAAAGCAUUGACAAUCGUUGAGUAAACCCUCAGAUUAUCACAUGGACUCAUAAGCUGGAAAUUUACAGAACUACUAUGUGACAUCACAUUCCUUUUUUCCUUUUUGUGGAUGGCUCUUUGGUGCAUUUGUCCUUUUCUUUCCUUAUUCCCUUUCAGAGGAGUGGGGACUAAAUUGGUUGCAAACACGUUCCAGCUUGACGCCAUAGAAGGUAUUUCAUAGUAAUAACUUAAUCUUACAUGCCAUAUUAUAGUGAUAUACUUCAUUCCUAGAUAUAUUAGCUUACCGCUUGAAGAAUCUCAAGAACCCGUGAUUCUUUCAUCUUCCAGGGGAGAUCCUUGGCAAGUGCCUGCAUUAGAAUUGGAUGUCAUAGGAGAGAAUAUAGUUGACAAAAAUAACAUUAUAUUACAGAAUGCUUUGUUGCAAAGACAGGAAUAUAAGUGCUCGCGAUGUUAGCCAGAAACUUAGAGAAACUGUACAGGACUAGACCAUGAAAUAAGGGAAAUACCUGUCUCAUUUCUUCAAGGCUAAUAACACCAUUUUUAUCCACAUCAAUUGCAGAAAACUGGUCCCGGACAUCUGCCAGCUCCUCCUCAUCAAGUGUGCUAGCCAAUGCCUGCCGGAUAACGAAAUCAACAACAACAACAACAACAACAUACCCAGUAAAAUCCCACUAGGUGGGGUCUGGGGAGGGUAGAGUGUACGCAGACCCUACCACUACCUCGUGGAGGUAGAGAGGCUGUUUCCGGGAGACGCCGGAUAACGAAAUCAACGACAACAACAACAACAUACCCAGUAAAAUCCCACUAGGUGGGGUCUGGGGGAGGGUAGAGUGUACGCAGACCCUACCACUACCUCGUGGAGGUAGAGAGGCUGUUUCCGGGAGACGCCGGAUAACGAAAUCACAUGAAGUUAAUGUUCUCUACUUUUUAUUUUGACCUUGCAUCAGAUAAGUCUAUGAAAGUAAGAAAGCUAUGAAGUUACCCGUAAUGCAAAUUGUUUUAAUCGACUGUAUUUGACAAACUGUCGCAUGUUGGACAAGACAGAAAUGUCUAGUGGAAUCUCAGAAGCAUCACCUCCUUCACGGACCCAUGGAUGUGCUGAAAUGUUCGUAUAUAUCAGUUUGAAAAAACUACCAUUUAUUGCAUCAACAAUUCAAAGGUGAUGAGAAUACCAGUAACAUCUAAUUAAGUGAAAACAAUGAAAUAAUUAUAUGAAAAUUAUUCAAUAUAAUUAUAUGAAAUUUAACAGAAAUAUGAAAGCUAUUUAGGAAGAACUGAUAAAAUGGACAUCCAACACCAAACAUUGCUAAUGAAGUGGCUGACUCAAAAUUGACAAAUUCAGUGUAUGAAUCUUUUGGACCUUGAGUUACUUCUCCGAUAAUCAUUCUUGGUAAUUGUAAAACCUAAACAUCACUUCAAAAGAUCGUACUAAAUCAGAAUACAAUUACUUACAUAGGGCCUGGGCAGCAGUAAGUCUAGCACGAGGAUCUUUCACCAAUAAUUUCUUAACAAAAUCUUUAGCACUGUUGCUUAUAGUUGGCCAUGGCUUGCGACGAAAAUCAGGUUUGUUUCGUAGGACCUUAGCAUAGCAGAAGCGGAGUUAGAAACAAUACUAAAUCAGCUAAAAUUAAAGCACAAAGACUUUACCGAACAUGACAAUGAACAAGUUACACUUCUCAAAGGAAUAAAAUAACACAUUUGAAUAAGAUUUUAUUUAAAUAAACACCAAGACAAUCCUUAUUCAAAGAUAUAGCAGUAGCUUCGAUGAACUCAAAAGAGAACAAGAAAAUUUCAGGUUCAAGAAAUUUUAAUACCGACUAUGGAAUGCAGACUAAGCUAAUCAAGAACUAAGAAUAAUAAAGCACAACUAUACAGGAAAUUCAUCAUCAGUACCAUAUUUGGAGUAAAAUUCUGAAAUCUCAAAUGUAAAAUUGGCUAAUCAGACACAGAAUUAUGCAUUUUUUUAAAAUGUAUUAUGCAAAGUCAAUAAUGAUAAACAUGCCACUUUGACAGAAUACAAAGUUUAUUUCCUAGUAGAGCUUAAAGAUCAUAAUGCAUUUCCACAAGUUUCCAAGAAAAAAAUCACUAUAUAAAAUGUUGCCCAGCUGCAGAGCUAUAAAAAUAAAUAUUAGCAGCUCACCUCCUUGAAUAUGCCAUCCUCUGUUUUAUCCCAGAAGGGCCGACGACCACAAAGCAAAAUGAAUGUAAUUACACCAAUGCUCCACACAUCUGAUUCAGGUCCAGAUUUACGCUUUAAUACCUCUGGGGCUACGUAAUAUGCACUUCCUACUAUAUCUUGGAAUUUCUUCCCUGCAUUUAUUAAUUUACAGUUAUAAGUUUUUGCUAUCUGAGGAAGAACCAAAAACAUCUUUGACGGCUUUAACAGAUUUAUGAAGAAUUGAAGUUCAUACACCAUAGCAAAAGAUCUUUUUCAAAUAAGAAAAAUGAGUUUAAACUAAAAUAUGUCAUUGAGUAGAUUUGUGGACAUCCAAUCACCUGGUCUUAUGAAGUCUGAAAGACCAAAAUCUGUGGCCUUUAGUGGUGAGUCCUCCUUUGGAGAUUUAAAGAGAAAAUUCUACAAGAAAGAAAUGUGUGUAAGAGAAGCAACAUGAAGCAGCAUUAAUAAACCAAAGGAAGUACAUAACUUCUUGCAAACCUCAGGUUUCAUAUCACGAUGCACCAAACCAUGUAAAUGACACUGAGCGGCAACUUUCAGCAUCUGACCCACAACUAUUGCUGCAUCUUUCUCGGUAUAACGGCUGUCCUUUCUGAUCAAAGGAAAUCAUCGAUAAAUUAUAUAAGUAUUCUUCUUAACAAGAAAUAAAUUAUAGAGCAAGCACCACAGAUCACGAGAUUAAGUAAACCUGGUUUAUACCACUUACUUGGCCAAAAUGCGGUCCAACAGUUCUCCGCCCUCGCAUAACCUACAGGAAAACAAAUUUCUAAUCCAUCAACUUCCCAUCAGAUAGCAUAAUCGAUUGUUAAGCAAAGAACUAGGACCUGACGAAUCCAAACAGAGCUCUUAAUAACGAAACUUACUCCAUUACUAUGUAAACAUAGUUAUCAUCCUCAAAUGCAUUAUAGAAAUCAACUACAUUCUCGUGACCAGCUAGGGCCUUCAAUAUCUUGACUUCUCGUUUUACAUCCUCAACUGCAAUUGGAACAACCAUCUGCAACGAUUCACUAGAGUUAUGCUAUAGUUGUAAUAAACUGGAACAUCAAGAAGUUCAAGGUAAGGCAAUUGAUCAUGCAAUAGUACUAAAACUUAACAAGCGUCAAAAAGAGAAACUUCUGCAAGUAUUCGUAUUUGCAUGAAUAACCCCAUCAUUCCAGAAGGAUGAACACAUCUCAACUGGUGUGCAGAGAUUAUACGAGACAAAGCUGGAGGAACCUUUCACCAAAAGAAAAGUUUUUCUCCAUAAAAGCCGAUGGUGAACAAAAUAGUUGCAUCAUGCAUCAAUAACCAAGACUUGUGCAGUAAGUCACAGAUAAGCUAUGUUGCUCGGACUCUUCAAAAUGUCAACGGGUGCAUGUUAGAUUCUCCAAAAGUAGUGUAUUUUUGGAGAAUCCGACAGGGGUGCAGCAUCGAAAGUGAAGAGUCCGCGCAAAGAAGUUUCCAGUGCCAAUUGACUAAAAACCAGCUCUCUCUCUAUAGUCUAAACCAGGUCAGGGAAGCCAUUUUCCAUUUAACUGUACAUAAUAACAACAAGCAGCACUAAUCACAGAAAACUAAGGUCCAGUGCUUAGGUGUUUCUCUCGAUAUGUCAAUGCUUAGAACCACAACCAUCAUUAUUAACCAAACAGCUCCCAUAAACCUAUAGUUUUCGAGAUAUUUACUUAUCCCAUCAGUCAAGUUUGUAUGUACCCACGCUCCUGUUUAUUAUUUUUUAGAACCUCAGGAACUAUCCUUUCCAGCUGCCCCCUCCCCCCCGGCUUUGCCCUUGGGUUUGUCAACCAACCUGGCAUGUUCAGACCGGGCGCCUCGAUGAUGGUCUCUUAAAAAGCGCAGCUUCACCGGUUAGCAAUCCAUUAAAAAUGAACUACAACUUAAAUUGGUACUUCAAAACUAGCAGAAGAUAGUAUUUUGUAACCACAAAAGCUAUACAAAUACACUGAUUGAACCAAAUAAACAGAGACAUGAACUAAAAACAAAAAGGAUAAAGCAUGCGAAGCAAUUCAGUAGUUUAUGGAUAUUCUUCUGAGUCAACCGAAGUCAAUCAAGACAUUUAAAAAUAAUUCAGAAGAGAUACUUGAACCUAUAAUUAGGAUUGAACAGAAAUUUUCAGAACCCUGAUUCCAAAUUUGGUGCACUACAUAACUCCAUAAGAAUUUGAUAUAGCAGGGGAUGGGGAAAGGGGAAAGGGGAAAGGGGAAAGAAGAGAACCUUUUUCUUUUCAAUUCUCUUGACAGCCACGCGAUUUCCAUUAGACUUAUCUGUGGCAACAUAUGUGUAUCCAAAUUGUCCAUGACCCAACAACUUCCCAAUUGUAAACUUCUUAUCAAAAUCUUUAUCAUACCCAAAAUCCGUUCUUUUCCCACAAGGAAUAACCCCACUUUGCCUCCUCGUAUUAUGCUUAACAUUUUUCGUUUGUUGCUUAACCCCACCGUUAUCCUUACCUUUCUGUCGAUUGUAAUGAGACCCCUCUUGUUUUCUUGAUGUAUUUGUUGUUGCAGAAACCGGUUUCGCUGAGCUCCGCCGAUUACGGUGGCCAUUCACGGUGGCGGUAUUGGUGGUGGAAGGGGUGUUGCUGUUAGAACCACUAACUUUUGAGCUAGAAAAACAUAUAUUGCCCAUUUUGAUAUAUGAUUAAAAUCCUCAAAGUUUAAAAUUUUCAGAUGUUUGAAAGAAAAAGAAAAAAAACCAAAUAAUCAAGAAUCAAGAUUAUGGAUAAUAUAGGGAGGAAAGAAAAGGGGCAAAUUAAAUAAAAGAGGAAAGAUUAUAGGAAAUAGGAGGAGGAAGAAAGGAAGAAGGAGAGGGGAGGUGAUGGACCAUGGUAAUGGUCAAAAAACAAACUUUUUCAAUUUUUUUUUGAACAAGAAAACCAUAAGCCCUCUUAUUUCUUAUUUUCAGUUUGGAAGAAUGGAGGGAGAAAAAACUGAUUAUUUAUAACUUCUUUCUUUUCAUUUUCUAUAUCUAACAUUUUUUUCUCUCUAAUAAAAAAUAAAAUAAUCGCCUCUCUCAGAUUGAGAUUUUUCUCUCACUUUUCUUUUUUAAUGGAACAACAGAAAAUAUAAAUGAGGUUUUUGGUGUUUUCUUGUGGAAUUACCAGUCCCUUCCUCUCCUCAGGUACGUAUUUCAUACCCACGUGCAGAAAUUUGGUAUCAAGACUACUAGAAAAGACAAGCUGACACAAAAAAAAACGUGGUAUAAAUCAUAAAUAUAUAAAUUUUAAUUUGGCCUUAGAUAUCGUUUAAUUUUAAAUGUGCACAAAUACAUAUCUAAAUUAUCAUAAUUUUAAAUAAAAAGACAUACAUAGAAGAAAUCACGUGAUAUUAAUUCAAAUUUUAGAGUAAAAUAGUUUGGGAUGUGCUCCAAACAUAUCAAUACGUACAAAGCAUUAAUUUGUCAACAUUCGAAAGGUUGAGCAUAAGCCUAAUCAAUUGACAACCAGUAAAAUGACAUAAGCCUAAUUAGUUUGAUAGAAAUUUAAAAAGCAUUUUUCCAUUGCAUUCUCACUCCAUGAUACGAGUGCUAAAAAUUUUCUAUACAUCCCAAACUAUUUUUGACCUCAGUUUUCAUUCACGUGAUUCAAACAACCAUUCAUAUAUAUAUUUAGUAUUUUAAAUUUAAAUCAUACUACAAUGGUAAGGAAAGAAAAUGAACUUAAGUUACUCCCUUCGUCCUCUUUUUAAUUAUCGCUUUAUAUAGUUAAAAAUAAUUAUUACUUUAGAAAUUCAAGAAUUGAAAAUUAAUAAUUAUUUUUAACUAUAUCACCGACAUAAAAAAAAGUGUUUCCCAUAUCAUAUGUUAACUAUUGCUAUAGCUCAAAAAAAUUAUAUCAAAUUAAAAUAAUUAUCACCUUAACGAUACAAAUUGUUUUUAGCUAUUUUCUUAAUAUAAAAGAAAUAGAUUUUUUUAAUAUAGAAAUGUUCAAUUCAAAAACAUUUAAUAAAUAAGAAUAGCUUAGUGAAUUAUACCUUAUAUUCAUUUCUUUUUUUUACUGGACAUAAAAAGAAUCUAAAGUGAUCGUAAAAUUGUAUAGAGGGAAUAGUUUAAUCACCAACUUAAGAUGAAUUUUAUUUUCUAAGGACACCAGUAUACCACAUAUAAUCCAUCAGAGUCGAGGAAAAACUCAUGGUGAUUAAAAUAAACUAAAGUUUAAGACAUCAUAUAGAUAAGCAUUUUGCAGAGUACAAUAUUGUUAGAAAAUGCCUCGCCGUCCAUCAGAGGGAUUAAUUAAAAAAAGAAACAAAAACGUUAACAGUCAUAUCAUAUAAUAUUAUUAUUAAAAUAUAAUUUCAAACUUAAUAUUAUAAAGGUAUAAUGAGUUUAAUUAAUGCUAAUAUCUUUACAAAUUUACUUCGAAUUACUUAGUUGAAAAGGAGGAAGAGGGAGUCGGUGAUAUGCGUUUGCCUAACUAAAUAUUCUGUGUACUUGAUUAGUUAACUAAGAUCUUUUAAACAAAGACAUAACUCUAUAUAAAUUAAGGAAAACAAAAAUGUCGAUUGCUCAAUAGUCUACGUACCGACAAGAGGAGGAUAAGAGAUGUAAUAAGGUGAUGAAAUGUUAGCCAUAUAAAUAAAGAUGAUUGAAGUGGUUUAACAACCACUUUUUAAUUAUUUGAAAGUGAAAUACUAUCUACAAAAUAAAUUAAAUCCCCCCAUGUUUGAUCGUCAAAUCCUCAAACAUUUCCCAAAUGUCCUCUAGGCAUCCAACACGCUAAAGAAUACAUAUAUAUUUUAAUAGGGCUCUCGUAAGAUCGAAUAUCCUACUAAAAAAAAAAGUCAAUAUCAGAUUAAAUUAAAAAUCUUUGCAAUGUGUUAACUAUUAACUAUGUUUAAAAAACUUGAAACUAAAUGUGAACUUUUUUUUACAUAAUAUUUUAAAUUACAUUGCCAGGAUUAGAGAAGAUUUUUGUUGCUAUAAAUUAAAUUUAUCAGUCACUAAUUCUGAUAUUUUUAAAAGCAGUGGACAAGUAAAUGCCUGAAGUGUCAAUCGAUAUCUGUCCCAAUCCUACUGGCUGAUCAAAGUUGAGAGUGAAUUAUGCCUAUGUUUGGCACAAGUAUUGACCUUUCACAUGUGGAGUAUUUGGCAAGUACAAGUCAUAUCAAGAAACUUUCAAACUUGAACUAUACAAGUGAGUGACUAAGUGUCUGUUUGGAUUGACUUAUUUUAGGUGUUUUUAAGCUAAAAUAAUUUUUAAACAGUUAUAAAGUGUUUGGAUAAAGUUAAAAAGUACUUAUAAACACUUAUUUUAAAGCCAAAAUAACAAAAAUAAGUCAAAAGUCAUUAAGUUAGAAAUCCUAACUUAUGGCUUUUGACUUAUAAGUCAUAAGCCAAAAGCCAAUCCAAACAGGCCCUAAUUAACUUCUAUAUAUGGUGAUGAGAUGACCAUUCUAGUUGAUACACUGGUCAUAAAGAUAAUGAAGAUUUAUUCUAAUUAAUGGCGUCAAUUGGGUUAUCUAAGAUUAGGAUUUGGAAACUUUCCUAAAAAUUCGAAACACGAAAAUAUCUUUGUUCAACGUGAUUUUAAAAUAGAUUUCAACAACCAAAUACAUUUCUCUUUUCUAAAAAAUAUCAAAAACCCAACUUGUAAGGGUUAAUUAUGGAAGUAUCUUACCCCCAAGAUGUAUCUCUUCAAUAACAUUUUCAGAAUUAUGUGUACUUGGUCGCGAUUCGCGCGGUUAUGAAAAGAAUUAAAAUAAAGUUACAUACUAAUAUCAAUAAUACUUUAAUAAAAGGAAUUUUUUAUUAAUCACAUAAUUUCAUAGAAGAGAAGCUAUGAAAAAUAUUUAGGUUAAAUAUGAAAUUCAUUAAGAAAUCAAUAUAUGUGAACUUUGAAAAGUUAAAUACUAAAAAUAAAUUUCAUAGAGAAAAAAAGAGAAGGUAAUAUUAGAACUACUGAAAUGUAAACUUGAGAUGUGAUCAUUUUUUUCUUUUUUAUUUGGGAUCUUUUUUAGUAUAAUUUAUAUAUAUUUAUGUAAACUUGAAAUCUGUUCAUUCUUUUCUGCUUCUUUGUAAUCUUUUUAAUUAUAUUCUUAGUAUAAUUUUUCGACAAUGUGUAACUCGGAUUGCGAUUAAUAGUUAUUGUCCAUGAUUAUACCGUUAGCCAACACUAUUUUUAAUCAUUAUCCACAAUUACUAUUACUUGUCAUCGUCAUCACCCAAUCAUCACAUAUUUUAAUUAUUUUUAUUGUACAAUAUUAGAUUAAUUUAAUAUUUGAGUAACUUUUUAAUAAUUAAAUUUUAAAUAAAAAAAGUUUACAUAUUUAAAUGAUGAAAAAUAACAAUCUUAAUUAGUUAGAUUUCAUAUCUUAAUAUAUUAUUAUUAUAUUUAGGUUCAGAUAUUUAAUUAUUUUUUGAACAACUUAUAUUGGGAAAACAAAAGAAUUAUGUAAAAUUUAGAAAUAAACAUAAAAGAGAACAAAAGAGAGAAUUAACUACGCAAAAAAGAUUCAAAAAAAUGACACAUACAAAUUCCUAUUUUUUUAAAUUUUUCUUGGCUUAAACACAAAAAUAUUAAAAAGUAUAUUUCACAUUUUAAAUAAAUAUUACAUUUAAUAUAAUAAAUUCCCGAGAAUAAAGAGUCACAAUAAUUAAGAGGAUUAACAAUGUGGCCUUGGACUUGUUUGUAACAUAAUAGGAGUAAUAUUUGUACAUUAUUACAUUAAUAAAGAACAUUAAUUAUAGAAAAUGAAAAGACAAUCAAAUUAGAGUUAUUGAGACAAAUGUUUUAUUAUAAGUAAAUAGAAAGCAAGGAAACCAACAAUAUUUUUUAAAUUAUAAAUUAAUCGCAAUUUUAAAAUAACUUGAGAACUCCUGGAAAACAACCAAUAUGAAAAAUAUAAAGACUGCAACUUGACUUAUUAAUAAACAACUUGAAAUCUCCUAGAAAACAAAAAAAAUAGAAAAAAUUUUAAAAGAAUUGCAAUUUUAUACAUUAAUAAAGAGUUUGUUUUUAAUAAAACAAACUGUAUUUUCAAAAUUAUAAAAUUAACUUUAACAUUCUCAUGUUCUAUCAUUUUUGUUAUUAAAAUUUGCUCCAUUCGGACUAUGGAAGUAUAUGUACGUAUUUCUUUAAGUAGCAUAUCGAUAUUCAUUUAGUCAUUUCCUGCUUAUAUGUUUUAAAAUAUUAUACCCCACAAACACAAUAAAUUAAUAUUAUCAACAAAAAGUGAGAUGAAUUUACCUGAACAAAUAAUCUUUUUGAAGAGUGUUAUCAUUAUAAUAUAAUCAAAUUAUCUAAGAAUUACAUAGAGGUCUAAAGAAAAUAAAUUAAAUAUUUUUUUAAAAAAAAAAACUUAGGAUUUAUAUCUUCACAAACACAAACAAAUAAUAUUAAAUGUAUGAUUUCAACAAAGAAAGAGUUGCAAUUAUAUUAGACAUAUCAAAUUAUUUUACCUUGUAAAAUCAAAUUAUGCAAGAAUGUCUAACAAUUUUCAUUAUAGAUAUAUCUCCUAUAAUCUGCAAAAUAUGAUUAAAUAAGUUAAAAAAUUAUCUAGCAAAAGAAGAAAAGGAUAAAGAAUAAGGAGAAAAUUGCAUUUAAUCAUAAAUCCUCCUACACCUAUAAUCAUUUUUAACAAAACAUAAAUAAUUCAAAAGGAAAUAAUAUAAUAGAAACAUUACUUCUUAAUCCCCUGAAAAUAAAAUAAAGAAUAAUCCAUAUAUAUAGCUCAAAAUCCAUUAAUCUCCAUCUCUAGAUGAUUUCAUUUCGUCCUAUAUACAAGAGUCAAGAAAAAUAAUAACAAAUAGAUUAUUAGUCCUAAAUUGAAUCUCAAAGACAACAAAACAAAAUAAUUUAUCUAGAAGAAACAAAAUUAUGCUUUGACAUAUUAGUCUUACUUGCUAAUUAAAAGUAAUAUAUGAAAUCAUAUUUGAAAAAGAUAAUGCACCUCAAACCUUACAAAUAUUGUAAUAUGUCUGCCACUAAUUCUCUAACCAAAGAUGACUACAAAUAACACACUAAUUUUAGUGUGAUUUUAUAGUGUUAAUAUAACCUUCCACAUUAAAUAAUUAGAGGUUAUAAAUAUGAAAGGUUUGAGAGGUUAUGAAUAUGAAAGGUUUGGGAGUUAUGAAUAUUAUUAAUACUAAUUUAAGAAUAGAAUUUAUAUAAUUGAAGAGGUAUAAGUUAAGAAGAUGAUUUUGCAAGAAAAAAAUAAUUGAAAGAAAUAAGAAAAAAUGUCAAGAAAAAGAGAAAAAAAAUAAAAUAGAAUGGAGGCCAUAGAGAGGUGCCACAUCACCUUCUCUAUGUUCCUCAUUUAUAUAUAUAGAGAUUUAUUUAGAUUUCUUGAGUUCAAAUCCUGCCAAUUAAAAAAAAAAUCGGAUAGUAGACUUUUUUUUAAUUAAGUAUUACACAAUGUAAAAUCACAUUAAUGAAGGCUUUAAUUCAAGUACCAAACCUAUUAAAAGUAUCUUUGGACGGAACUUAUUAGAAGAUCAGUAAUUAAAACUGGCUGCUCUAUAAAUAUUUUUAGAAUUAAAUAUAGAAUUUGUGUAAAAAAUAAUAUUAAAAACGUGUGAACUUAAUUAGAAUUUUCGAAUUGAUAAUUUCUACGUGUGAACAAAUUAAAGUAUUAAAAAAGACAUGAAUUUGGAGUAUCAAUGGAAUUGACUUGAGACAACAAGGAUUAAACAAAGUAUUAGGUCCUAGUAACAAACAAAUAAUUUUAGAAAAUUUAGUAGAAUGAACUACUUGUACGUGAUAGAACAAUUAAACAAAUCGAGUUUUAAAGAGUAUCUUCUCACUACUCUCAAUAAGUUCACACUUGGAAAAAAUGUAAAAUUGCAGAAAUUAGCACUUUUAUCGGAAUAUUCCAAGGCUUUUGGUUUCUUAUUUGGCUGUAUUCCUCAAAAUUCAAAGUUAACCAAAGAGAAUGGCAAAACAAACUAUAUAUGAGUAGUAGACUUGACUUGACUUGACUACAUACACACUUGCCCUUUUAUUUUCAUGUUUAUCGUUUAAAUGAUAAACAAUGUUUUCCUCGCCUGUUACUUGGUUUUGAUGUACUUGAGCUGAGGGUCUCUCGAAAACAGCCUCUCUACCUUUACGAGGUAGUGGCAGGGUCUGCGUACACUCCACCCUCCCCAGACCCCACCUAGUGGGAUUUCACUGGGUAUGUUGUUGUUGUUGUUAUCGUUUAAAUGAUAAUAUAUAUAAUAUUUUCUUUGAGAGCUGUGAAUUCAAGCAGAUACGUCUUUUGCUUUAAAGUAUUUUUAGAAUAAAAUUUAAAUAAUUAUUUCAUUAAUUCUAUUUAAAUUUAUUUAGUGUAUAAUUUUUCUGAAAUUGUGAAAAUCGUUUUAGCUAUGACCUUUAGUUUUAAAUUCAUAUCCUUUAGUUAUAACUUUAUUAUUUAAAAUGUCAAUAAUAUUUGUGUAAGUAUUAUAAUUGUUUUGCAUAAAAAACCAAUUGUCGAUGAAGAACAAUAUUUAAUUAUGGACAUCUUGAUAAGUCUCUUCGCAUUAUUUACUAUCAUACAAAUAUAUAUUAUAAUUUAUUUUAGAGCAAAAAUUUAAAAUUAUUUAAUCAAUAUCGCUUAAAAUUUAUCAAUAUUAAUAACAUCUAUCAAGUAUUUAUUUUACACUUCAUGAAAUACUGUAAUAUCAUUUAUCACCAUUUUAAAUACUAGGCCCGUGCACGGCAUGGAUAUUUCAUAACUAGUAAUAAAUACACAUAAAAGAGGAUGAAAGUAAAAUGUUACAUUUUAGUGUCACCUUUAGAAACGCAAAAGAAGACCAAAUCUUUGUAGUUUUUUGCGUUUUCGUUUAAACAACGACGCGUUAUUUGUUUUUGACCAUCACAAUAGGAAACGGCAGAAUUUGUACACUUUAUGCUCCAAAAAUUAAUUAAAAUAUAUAGUUUUCUAUAGUUUCAACUUUUACAAAUUAAAAAGAAAAUUAAAGAAGGUAUAUAUGAAUAACAAUUUAAUAGUUUAUUAUUCAUAUAUAUAGGUUACGGAAAUGUAACUAUUAAAAAAAACACUAUUUCUCCAUUGAAACUUUCUACUAAAAUGUUCAGUAGUGCUUUUUCCACAUAUCUUUGAUUGAAUUAAUGCAAAAGAAAAGAGAGGAGUUUUUCACACGAAAAAUAAUAAGUAUUUUUUUGUUUUCGUACCAUAUGUUUCUCAAUGAUCCGUUGUUCCGAUAGAAAAAUCACGCUUUAUAACACAUUAAUUUGAUCAGAAAUUUAAAAAGUCUAUAGUAUUCUUUUUAUUUUAAAAUAAACUGGUCUUUUUUUCAUUUUUUAAUUAAAAAGUAUUAAGGUUAAAAGGGUAAAAAUGUUCAAGAAGGUAAAAUAACAUAGUGUGAAAUAUGUUAUUUUACCAUUCUGGACAAUUUUUUUUGCCAAAAGAAUUUUUCCCAUUAAUUUGCAGCGGCAAAAAACUUUUAUUUCUAGUGACGCUUUGAUCUUAUUGAAGGUUGGGACUUGUUAUUAAUUAAAUUGGGUCCACUCUAAUUAGACAUGUUUAAUGUACCAAAUCUCUUUGUCCGUUUUCACACUCCUUUAUUUAAUUUCCAUUUCACACAGCAAAAGAGUGAGAUCAGUUUAUCGUUAUAUGAGUUGGAAUGUUGGAUAGUGCAAAUAAUGCAAUUCUCCAUUUGUAGUCUUAAAAUAACAUAAACCACUUAUAAUUAUAACAAAUAAUGCAACCUAAUAAUACAACUUAUGAAUUCUUCUUUUUUUAAAAGAAGGAGUGGGGAUCAGAGAGUCUCGAAAAUAAUCUUUCUACUUUUUUUUUUUGCCGGAGUUGUUCGACAAUUUUUCAUGCCUUGCACGCAGUACGCACCCAUUGGCCACAUUAUAUUUCAACUGUAGUCGCACAUAAGCUGCUGCCUUUUUGUGGAGCCUCUUUUCCUUUUUUUUUUUGUUUUCUUGGUGGGGGUGGGUUAUAUGUACCCAAAUAUGAAAGCAAGGUACAUAAUUGAGUGUUAAAAAAUAAAGAAACGUGCCCCAUUACGUCCAAAUAUUGGGGUGUUGUACGUCGGUGUUUGAAAGGCAAGGAGCCACUUACUAGUUCACUCCUAGAGUAUAUAAACUAGAUGACAAAAAUUGUUAAAUGAUUCUUUUGCUUCUAUCUAUAAUCGAUGGUGUGUAUAGAUUUGUUUCGUUUCUUUACCGUGAAUAGUUGAGAUAUACAUUAAGUCACCCAUACACUACUUUCUCCAUCUCAAAUACUUGUGGUAUUUUUCAUUUACAUACCCUUUAAGAAAACAUUAAUUAGGAGGGGUGCAUGUAUAAUGUUUAUUUUAUUUACUUAUUAGAAUAUGUUAUAAUUGAGAUAUAUAUUGUACUCUUGAAGAACCUUUACUAAGGGUAAAAUGGAACUAAAAAAAUACUUCAAUUAUCUCUUGAACUUCUAAAAUGAGAAGAAUUUUGAGAUAUACAUGUAUUUUUAGUAAGGACGAUAAGUAUUUUGAGAUGGAGAAAAUACUGUGAAAAUUAAUAAAAAAUAAAGAAAUAAACGAGAAAUAUGGAUUGAUUAGGUUUCGAAAGCAGGACAGCAAAGGACAAUUGUGUUUCUUGCAAGAAAGGUUCACGCGUCUAAAAGCUACAACUUUGAAUGUAUUAAUGUUCUUUUUAGAGAUUACUAACAGAUUUCUGUUGUAAACUAGCUGGCAUAUAUACUGAUUCACGAAUAAUAUAAACAUUUUUUAUGUAAAUUAACUGGUUAUGCAUGAUACUUUUCAUUAAAUUAAUUUCAAAUUUAUAACGCUUAUUAUUAUGUAAUUAUCUUUUUAAAUGACCAAUAUUUUCCACAACAUCAAUUUUUUUAAACUCUUUUCUUGUCAAUUACAAAGUGGUAGUAGCUCAUACUUAUACGUCAAGAAAUAAAACAAAUCUUUUUUUUUUCUUGUUAGUUAAUUGAGAAAGAAAAAUACUUCACUCCAUUUUCUUCCUGGAUUUUAAAAUUUAUUUUUUUACAAUACCGUAUAAAGUGGUUUUCUAAGUUUAAGAAAACGUGAUGCAACCGGCUAUUAAUAAAAGAAGGAAGGGACAACAUAUUUGAUCUUUGUUUAUUAAUCACACGGAAGAACAAAUGGAAGUGAACUCUUGUGACACGACUUUUUCACAUGUUAAGAAAAUAAAUAAAUAAAAGCAAUUCUAAACUCGGAAAAUUGGGCUAAAAGAAAGAAGCAUGUAAGUGAGCAACUGGGCUGUAAACUUGGGCUAAUCAUAUAUAUAGUAUCUUCUUUUGUAGGAAAUGGCGCCAUGUAUCAUCUAAAAGACUUAAUUUGUUUUGUAAUACUACUAGCAUUAAAUACAUUAUUGAGUUUCUUUUGGCAAAAAUUGAUACCACUUGUUGUGUCUGAGUAUCCCUAAUGUUGCAACAAGCACUACUACAAUUGGAGCUAAAAUUCUUUUCAACUACAAUUGAAGCUAAUUUUAGUUUAUUGGCAAAACAAAAUUGAGAAAGCAAAACUACUGAAAAAACAAUUAAAUCGUAGUAGAAGUGAUGGUAGCACGCGAAUAAUAAAAUUAUUGGACUAUUAUAAAAAUAUUCACAAGAACAUGAUUUAUUGUUAUUCAAGACAAUACUGAUAAAAGAAAUUACACGCGUAGCCUCUUGUUUCAAGAUCCAAUAUUGUAAGUGUUAAAAUUGUAAAACUUAAGCAAGAAUUUCCUCAAUGGGCUUGGACUCCAACUUGGCCUCUUCAGUCUGUUCCUUGGCCAGUUUCUUGAGCCUAGCAAGCUCAAGAUCCUUACUCAUUUUCCUCCUGUACAUUUCUGCAAAUGUAAUCGGCUCAUCCAUUAUUGCCUUCUCUCCUUCCCUAAUUUUUAACGGAUACACUUUUGCAUCCGGUGCUGGAUUCUGAAAAGUGGCUAUCGAUAAUCUGCUGCUAUUCGAAUUCACAACUGCUUGAUGAUCAGCAUUCUUGAACCUCCCAUUGCUCAAAUACUGUCCAAAAUUCACAUAAUUAAGUGUCAAUUAGAAAACAUAAUUUUAUGGGAAUAUGUAGUAGUACCAACUUACAUGACCAUGAUCACCAAGAUUAACAACAAAAGCGCCUUCAACGGGCUGAACAGUGAUCCAAGUUUUGCCAUUAUCUUUAGUGGCUUGAAGCCCACCAACUUGGUCUUGUAACAAGAGGGUGAUGGUUCCUGGAUCAGUAUGUCGUUUCAGCCCAAGGGUAAGGUCAGGCUCUGGACACUUUGGGUAAAAAUUGACAACUACUUUUUGGUCCAUAUCCACACAUGCCUUGGUUAAAGCCUCUUUCUCUAAGCCCAUUGCCUCUGACAGUACUUCUAAUAAUUUGCAAGCUAAGUCCAUUAAUUUUUCACUGUAUUUCUCAGUUACAGCUUUCCAGCCUUGUGGUUUGUCUGGCCAUCUAGAGUAGUCUCUAGCUCGAAUUGGGUAUGAAAAGUAGGUCACUAUUUCACGCCAGUCUUGAACCACUUCACCCUAUACAAAACAACUUUCUUUAACAAUUUAAAUCUCUUCCCAUUCCAUUCCAUAGUAAUAUAGUAUUUGGAUAGAUUGUUAUAUCGUUAUAUAAUGUUACACAUCCAUCACAAAGAAAAAAUAGGGUACGAAGAGCUACUAAUAAAAAAAACAGUGUAAAAAAUAACAUAGAAUAACUAAAUAAUAAAUAAAGACAAAAUGAGGCUCUUAAGCCUCAACACUUUAUUUUUUUUAAAAAUAAAGACAAAAUUAGAUGAACAUAUUAAGAUAAUGACAUGACCAUACCAAAAUGUCAUUAAAGAAAAUAAAAUUUUUCAUCUAAAUAAUGCAAUACUGUAAAAUUUUAAAUAACAAUUAAAAAAACAUUAUAAUUUAACUACGGAUAACUCGGGGGGGAAAUGGGAUCUGUUACAAACACUUUUUACUUUUUAGUAUAUCUUUUCUAUAUUUAGAAAUUAAUCACUAACUUCUUAAUUUAUUUCUAAAUGAUGACAUGCACCUUAUUAGUAAAAAAUAAUACUAAUAAAUUGUCGUGACAUGCAUAUCUCUAUCUAAAAAUACGUGUGAAAUAAUUGUUACCUGUAAAUGGCUUGAGACAAUAAAGCCGCCUUUCUUGCCACCAGACAUGUCAAACCGAAGCUUUUCGUCAGGAGGCAAUUCGAAAAAUUCCUUUGCCAAUUUUGUCAUUUCUGAUAUUAAUUGAGCAUCGACCCCAUGAUCAGUUACCUGAAAAACACCCCAAUCUUCACAAGCAUUUACAAUUUUCUCACAUAUUUCACUUCUUCGACUUCCAUUAAUAUCAUCAAUACCUUGCAACGAUAUUACUGGAAUUUCGUCACUAAAUUUAUUGUAAGCCACUUUUGGACGUUCUUCUUCAUCCCUAAUAAAACUUGUUUGAAGGGUCUUUUCAUUAGCUAGAGCUGUUAGUGUUGAAGGUGCCAUUUUUUUUUUUUGUUCAAAAGAGUUAUGAGGUGCCUUUUUAAUGUUGAGAGUAAGGUGAAAUAAGGGGUGGAGAUUUAUAAGGGAGUGUUGGCGUGGAGCUAUUACUACCCUUCGUGCCAACUAACAACAAUUCACGUGUUUUCUUUCUAGAAUUGUAUUUUGCUUACGAGUUGAAGGGUAGAUACCACCAUACUUCGGGGAAAAAAAAUGAAAAGACGUUGAACGUCGAUUUAAUUUAUAUGAUAUUGUUUGAUUUGAUUUUCUUUUUAAAAAAAUUAAAGUUUAUUAUUUAGAGUUAAGUUUAAAUAUUUAUUUAGCUAUUAAUUACUUCAUUUGUUUCAUAAAGAAUGGUCUAGUUUGACUUGACACGAAGUUUAAGAAAAUUAAAGAAAACUUUUGAAUCUUGUGGUCCUAAAUUAAAGUUAUGUCAAUCGUACAAAAUUAGUUUUUAAUCUUGUGGCCUUAAACAUGUCAUGUGAAAGCUGAAAUUAAAAUGUUACCAAAAAAAAGAAAGAGGUCAUCUUUUUGAAACAGACUAAAAAGGAAAGGAGGUCAUUCUUUUUUAAAUGGAGGGGUAUCUUAUUAAAAGUAUUUGUUUUAAUUCUCUUAAAAUAGAUUAAAAUGUAAAGUGUAACACUAAAAAUGAAUAUUGUUUAACUUCUAAAAAGGUAUUAAUACUUUUGUAUGUAUUCUGUAUUAUAUUGCUCUUCCGUACCAUCUUAUAUGAUAUAUGAAUUAAUUUAACUUGACAUGGAGUUUAAGAAAGAAGGAAAAACUUUUGAAACUUUGUGGUGUAAAAUAGGUGAUAGAUAUUUGUGUGGUUUUAAAUCAUUUUCAUUAUGAAUAAAAUAGACAUUUUAAGAUAAAAUUUUAUUUAAUAUAAAAAUAUGUCAUUUUGUUGGAAUGGACCAAAAAAGAAAAUUUAGUAGGAGUACUAGUUACGAUUUUAGGGGAAAAGUGUGGUUGCUUUGUUGAAAAGUAGUUACUACUAAAGUAUUUUGCUUUUUAAGAAAAACAAACGCAACCAAAGAGCUGUUUUUCCAAUAUAAUAAUUAGAGUUGUCAAUAUGAGCUAGAUCCGUUAGAUUAGUCUGGUCUAAUCCGUGAUUUGAUAGGGCUGGGCUAUGAUUUUUGGAGCCUAUUUAAGAAAAUGGUUUUUUAGCCCGGCCUGAAUAAGUUUGCCGAUUUGUGGGGCUUGACAAAUAUGGAUAGGACCGGCCCGUGGGUCAAAUAAAAAUUAAUUAAAAAAUAAAAAUAAAAUAGAGUAUUAAAAAUAACAAGAGCAUAAACUCAAUAUAUGUUUAAAGUUUGAAAUAUUACAAUUUAAAUACAAAUUUUGUUUAUAAAAUAUAUACUACAUAAAAUAAAAAUUUCCUAAAAUUUCUAGGAAAAAACUACAUAGGUCAUAGUUUAUGAAAUAUUGUCAUAAUUUUUGUAUUUUAUUAUGAUUAUUGAAAAACAAUUAGGUUAAUAUUUCUAUUUAACUAUUUAUGUUUUUACUUGAAAUCAAACUUAACAAAUAUUAUAAAGAUAAUUUUAUUUGUGUAUUUGAUUAACAAAUAGUAACACUAACACCAUGUAAUAUUGUCUUGUCGAUAUUUAUGAUAAUAUUUUUAAAUUAUAAUUUAAUUAAAAAAUUAUAAAAAAUAUACUUUUAAGAAAAGAGGGUUGGCCUAGAAAAGUCCGUAGCCCACGUACUUGUGGACUGGGUCAACCAUUUUCAGGCCCACACAAAAAAUGAGUUAGCCCGGCCUAGCCCGUCAAAUUUCAAAGUCAGUAUGAAUUAACCCGAAUGAAGUGGGCCAACCCAUAUUGACAGCUCUAAUAACAAUGUUACCAACAAUCGCUAAUAAUAUUUUCUUUAAAAGUUUAAAUCACACAAUAAUUGCUAAUAAGAAAAAUUCACCUUUUCAACUAUUAAUCGCAUGUGGGUUUAUUAACAAACGGAGGGUGCAUGCAAUUGAAUGUUGGUUAGGACAAAUCACGUGGCUGGUACCAACCAGCGUUGCCUAGCUAAAAAAAAAACAUGUCAAUACUUAAUCAUCUUGUGUUAAAUUUCUGUUAUUUAUUACUCCUCUCUUAAAUUAAUUAAAUGUCGUUGCUACUUGCUAGUUGCUUCUUAUAGAUUUAUCCUAAAAUUGAGUCAGAGGUAAAAAGGGUCCAACGUAUCCUUUAAAUAUAUGAAAUACAUUAUCCUUUCAUUAAUAGUUGGGAUCAAAUAUGUUCAUAUUUUUAUUCUAAUUUUACCCUUAUUUUUAAAUGAUAAAGUUUAAUAUCAAUAAUGUUACAUAUCCCUCAAUUAAAGAUUAUUAUUUUUGAAACGGAAGAUAAAUUUGUACUGGCCUUUUGCAUAGUUCAUAAGCAAAUAUAACAAAUAUGACCUUUUUUUCCAACAUAAUUUUGAGUUUCAAAUUUUCUUUAUUACUCCUUUAUCUUUCUUCAUGUAGACAUUGAAAUUUAUUAGAAAUCUACCAGACGCACUCAAUUCUAAUUGAAACUCUAUAAGAUGUAUUUGAUUUCAGUUAGAGAUUUUGAAGGCUACUCUACCCUAUCCCCAACUCAUGCCUAUAUAAAGGUAAUAUAUAUUCCCUUGAAAAGGCAAGGCCUCCAAAAACAAUUUAACAAAAUUAGUAAAACGAAGAUUGUGCUAAAAUUAGUCGGGCAGUAAAACUUGUGAAAACAUACUUUAUUAUAUGGACAUUUUUAAUGUGUAAUAAGUAGGGUACUUUUGCACAAAUUGCUUAAAUGAUGCUAUUUCUGCAAGUCCAGUUUUUUUUAUUCCAGAUAGGGAUCUUCUAAGGAUUUGGCUCAUGGGCCUUCCCAACUUUGAUUUGUCAUUACUAAUAGUAGUAAGUAAAGGAAAGUUACGUAAAUGUAUUCUUUGGCCAUCUAGUUUAUCAAUAUGGUCGAAGUAUACAUUAUUGGUACACGUUUGUUGUAUACUUAGUGUAUAUAUGUAUAUUGUAUACAUUUAAUAUAAACUAUAUACAUUAUCUAUACAUUGUGUAUAUAUUUUGUAAACUAGAUUUCUGAAUGAUAUUUUAUUGUAAUUUUUCCCUAAGUUAAAUAGAUUAGUCUGUUGUCAUAUUGUUAAAGAAUGACAAAAGUCUCACAUCGGUGGUUAAUGAGAUGAGUGGACUCCUUAUAAGGCUUGGACAAUCCUCCUCCCUUUGAGCUAGCUUUUGGGGUGUGAGUUAGGCCCAAGACCUAAUUUAACACAUAUAAAUCAAGAAUUUAAGUUAUAAUAUCACAUAAAUAUUUUUUGCAUUGAUUAUAUCACAAGAAGAGAUAAGAAAUUGUGUAUUUUUGUUGAGUUUUUGGUUUUCGAAAAUAGAAUAGCAAAACGACUUAUGAUAUAUAAUAAACCAAAAAAGUUUGAUCAUAUAAAACUUCCGGUGGAUUAUUAAUUGAUAGUCCUUACAGCAGGUUCCGUAUAUAAAAAAUUUAUGAAAAUAUAAAUAAACGGGUGUCGGACAAGUUGCCAGCUAAUAGUAAAAAAUAACAAUUCAAAUAAGGACUGAUCAUAUCGCAAAUUUAAGUUUUAAAUUUCAUAAAAGUGAAUAAACUUGUACUCAUUCUACGAAAAUUACGAGCUUCCCUUGAUAAUUUAGUGCAACUUGUAAAUUUUUAUGUGUAUUUAAUCUUAGUUUGGAGUAUCAAAUCUUAUUAAUGGUCUAAGGUUGAUGCUUUUUCUAAGAUUAACUAAUAUUUUAAUGAAACUCUAUUUUCGAAAUACUAGUGCACUGUGAAGUUAGGCUGGCAGUGUGACUUUCUGAGCAUUUUCCCACUUCUUGCCAGGCCCAACACCAUCACUUAGACAAGUAGGCACGUUCCCCCGAUGCCGAGGUUAAUACUAACUUAACUACUGUAUCUCAAAUUAAAUUACAUUAUCUGUGUAUCAUAUUAACCCAAAUUCAAAGUUCACACCCCAUGAACCAGAGGCUUGAUCCCGCGAGCAUCGAAAUGGGGUUCCUUCUUUGUCACUGAACCAACAACUGUUAAAUUAGGUCUUAGGCCUAACUCACACCCUAAAAGCUAGCUCAAAGGGAGGAGGAUUGUCCAAACCUUAUAAGGAGUUCACCCAUCUCAUUAAUCACCGAUGUGGGACUUUUGUCAUUCUUUUAACACCCCACCUCACGCCCAGUGCUUAGCAUCUGGUGCGUGGGCAAUUUUGAUUUUGGGGGCCCCAACAUGGGGUGAGACGGACCCUGCUCUGAUACCAUGUUAAAUUAGGUCUUAGGCCUAAUUCACACCCCAAAAGCUAGCUCAAAGGAAGGAGGAUUGCCCAAGCCUUAUAAGGAGUCCACCCAUCUUAUUAACCACCGAUGUUGGACUUUUGUCAUUCUUUAAAACAACAACUCUUUCUCAAUAUAAAUGCAGGAUUUAGGCAAUUGCAAAAUUUACGGGAAUUUCAAUAACCCCACUCGAUAUCGUAAUCCGCCCCUGCCCUGAACAACCUACCCAAAAAAAAACAGGAGCAAUUGAAGUUAACGGUAAAGGCAGAACGAAUUAGUAUUGGUCUAGAGUCUAGACCUUGUUUUGUGUUAAAAAAUUUAAUUAACAUGUAGCCUUUAAGGAGUAUAUGAAUAACUCAAAUAAACAAAAGAAAAUUGUGUGCACUAGAAUCAAUAAACUUAAAAUCCUAAAUCUAACCACGGUCAAAAGGGGGGUUUAUUUUCUUGUGCUAUAAAUUCUAAUGCAACACUCUUAUUUCUUAAGAGCUAGCUCUCUGCUUUCUCCGUCAUAUAUACACCAUUUUGCCUUUUUUGUUUCUGAAAGAAUGUCAUUCCAAAAGGCAUUUGCUGCUAUGCUUAUUGCAUCCUUUCUGCUCGUCCAUUUCGCUUAUGCCCAAAAGGUUUUUCAUUUUUAAGUGGAAUGUUCAUUAUCACAAUAAGUAGUCGAUUACUACAGUGCCUCACACACUAAUUUUUCCAAAGACCAUAUCACUCGCAUCAUGUUUUAACUCUUUAAUUCAUGUUUGUUGGCGCAGGUUGACUACAGCAAGCCACCAGCAUCAGCCCCUCAAGGUCCACAGCCACUAGGUAAUCUAUCAUUAUUUUAUAUUUGUAUAGAAACAUGUACUAAUAAAUAAAGUUGUGUUGGAAAUGAUUGUACAGAUUGCAUAGGAGCUUGUAAAUAUCGGUGCAGUGAGUCGUCUAGGCAAAAUCUAUGCAACAGAGCAUGUGGAAGCUGCUGCCAGAGAUGUCACUGCGUGCCACCAGGGACUUCUGGAAAUUAUGAAGCAUGCCCUUGCUAUUUCAAUCUUUUGACUCAUAACACCACCCGCAAAUGUCCUUAAUACAUCCCUUUUUAAAUUUGUUCUCCAAACGGAGUCAGUUCCCAAUAAUUUUGUUCAUUUUGAAAUUCAAUUCAUUGCUCCUUCUGUACGAAGCUUGUGAUGCAAUAAAAGAUGAUUUUUUCUAGCAAGUAGCCUGGUCUUUUAAUAAUCUGGCUCACUGUGUAGGGAAUUACAUGCCUGCAAAAAGGAGCACACUACUUCCAUUCUUUAGACUGUUGAAAGUAUGUAGUGCUAUAUAUACUGAGGUGAAAAUAUGGAGUGCUAUAUAUAAUAUAUACUAAGGUGAAAAUAUGUGUCCGGAGCUAAAAGGGCAAAUAAAUUGAGUAAAAUUUUCGGAAGGGCAACAAAAAUUGAGGAUCAAACCAAAAGAACAAUAGUUGGAUAGAAGGAUGGAUGCGGUUAAACCGUAGGUUAAAGGCUCAUGUCAGAAUGAGCCUUACAAGACUCAUGUUACAACAUUAAAAAAAAAACAGCGCACUUUUAAAAAAAUAUUCAUAUUUCUUUUUCAUUAUUUAUUCAAUCAUUUUAUUGUCUUGAAAAUAUGGAGUGCUAUAUCUUUUGAUGUUUUUACUAUUAGCAUUUCUUACAUAUUCUCCAAAUAAUUUUUCAAGAUCGAUCUAAGACUAUACAUCAAUUAAAUGGGUAUUAUAGUAAAAUAUUCAUAUCAAUCUUUAUUUCUUAAAAAGCAUGUAAAGUCUAAAGGGGACAAGUAAAAAUGAAAUGAGGGGUAUAUGUGCUCUUAUCCUUACUAUUUUUUUUAAGGAAUUCUACUGUCAACAUACUUACUUAGGGCCCGUUUGACCAUGCGAUAUGAUAUUAUCAUAAUAUGGAAUUAUGAGAUGAAAUUGAGGUUUUGUUUGGACAUGCGCUAUGAAUUUUUUGUGUUGUAUAUUUUCUUAUAAGCAUAAGAAUCCCAUAAGUUGUAAAACUAUUAAAAUAGCCCCAAUUUUAUUCAAUAUUAUCAAAUAAACAAAAAUUUAUAAAAUCGCAUAAUAAAUUACUACAAAGCUAUUUGUUCUCUACUUAAGUAAUUAUUUCAUCUAACUUUAAUUCAAUAAAAAAAUUGAACAUAAAUUGUAGUGUACUAGUUUUUAAUUUAAUAUAAUCCUCCCACAUAGUAUGAACAAUUUCCUCACAUCGAACUUGCAUUUCUCGAUCAUGUGACCGAGAAGACGAACCAACAUUGUUACUUUGAGUUGUAACAAAUACAAUACUGUAGAAGUAAUAAAUUAGGUGUUGGAGUAAAUGAAGAGAACAAAUUUAUUACUGAACAAUCGGUUGGUGUGAGUUAAAGAGACUAUAUAUUGAUGAGAAUAAUAAAUUUUAAAAAGUAAUGAUGUGAUUAUAAAUUUUAUUUACAUAUGAAAUAAAUGGUUAAUAGAUAUAAAUGUAAGGUUGUUUUAACAAAAUAUAAACUUGUGGAUCAAUUUUGUAUUAAAAAUAUCUCAAAUCAUGAUAUGGAAUUCCCAUAUCAUGGUUUUUGGAGAAUAUAGAAUCACAUCUCAUGAUAUGGAAUCAUGAGAUAGAAUCAGCGUAAAAUUGCAUGUCCAAACGCUGAUUCCAUCUCAUGAUUCCAUAUCGUGAUAUGAUAUCGCAUGGCCAAACGCCUACUUAGACAAUUAUAUUAGGAAAUUAGUUGGACCCUGCAGUCAUGGAUGACGAAUAGUUGGCAUCGUUAAUGGGUAAAAUUUCUCAUUACAUAUAUCCCCAAUACCUCUGUAUUAGUUUGUGUGUUGCAUGUUACCCACUGUUAAUUAUACUCAAAUAUACUUAAAAUUCACAAAAGGUUGCAUAUAUUGGUAAACCUGCAGCUUUCAUAUCUAAAGGUUGUCUAUCUAUCUUAUACUAGCCUUGGUACAUAAUUUAAGUAAGUAACUUUUUAAUUUUUUUUUUUUUUUAAAAACUUAACCUAAAACAAAAAUUUCAUGUAAAAAGAAUUGCUUAAAUUGAUGGAGUGACUUUGUAGGUGAAAUAUCAAUAAUUGAAUAACUAUUUAUUAGUUGAAUGACCAUCUCGAUAAAUAAUUUGUCUUUAUCCAAGUAAAGAUAAAAAGAAUUAGCGGUAAAUUUAGAAAAUUAUUUUCCAAAAACAUGCAUAAUGAAGUGGACAAGUGCCAGCUACAUAUAUAUGACCAUUUGAACUAAAGAGAGAUGCUGUCUAAGCAGUCCAGCUGUGCACCAUUUAGUAUACUUAUCAUUUUUUAAUAGUGCAAACUCUUUUAAUAAACAAAUUUUAACAGUUUAUUUUAACAUUUAAUCUAGUAAUUUAUGUUUUAAGGUACAAGUUUCAUUUUUUAUAUGACUUAAUAGUAUGGGAAAAUAUUCUCUUAGCAAAUUAAUCGAUAUCAAACACAUCUAACUUUUCUGCUGUUUCUUAUAAAUAUAUAUAUCCUCCAAUCCCGAUCAACUUUAGUCAUAAUUUUUGUUGUAGUGAAGAAAUUCUUGUUUUACUUUUCUAUCGUGACUAAAAUCUUAUCGAUAUAGCAAGAGUACAUUAUUUUGACCUUUCAACUAGGAUAGAGUCAAAGAGGUAGUCCUAAAUCAUUUUUAUAUCAUGAUUGGCCGCUUUUCAAGAUUAAAAGUGUUUCUGUUACCUUUUUUUUUAAAAAAAAUCAAGAUGUUUGAUCAAGCUUUUAGGAAACAAAACGUAUUUUUGAGAACAAAUAACUUUCCUCAAAAGUAUUUUUUUGAAAAUCACAUUCUAGAAAAUACACUUAGAAAUAUAUUUUAAAAAUUUAGUCAAACAUUAAUUGUUGCUCAUUAGUACUUUUCAAAUUGAUUAUCCAAAUACAAAUUAUUUUUUAUCAAAGUUUUUUUCUUAAAAAUAUCUUUCAAUGUUUCAUCAAGCCACUUUUGUCAAAUUUCAUUGACACAAUUAUUUAUGGACCUUUUUUUUUUUUUUUAUCAUGGUUCUAUUUUUAAAGUAAUAAAUCAAUAUUAAAGAUAACGGAUAUUAAGAAAUGAAAAUAGAAAAUUUUAAUUAUAAUUAGUUGAAAUUAAUUUUAUAUGUCCUGGAGUAUGAAAAUUGAAAGGUCUUCUAAGAGGACAAUAUAUUGAAACUGACAAAUAGAAAAAUAAGAUAUUCAAUUUGGGUAGAAAUGUAGCAAAUAUUAGUAUUUGUUUCCAGAUCUAUAAUUUACGUGUCCAAAUGAAUAAACCAAUAUGAGGCAAGUUUCCACUAAAUAGUGAAAACAAUAAUUCAAGUUAUAAGGACCAAUCAAAAUCAUAAAAUUUAUAAACAUGAAUAAAUAAUGUUUUUCAAAACCACAGCUUUCCCAUUAUUUAAUGCAACUUGGGAGAAUCUCUAAUAAAUUAUGUGCUUGUAAUCUAUGUUGUUGUAGCAAAUCUUGCUAUUUUAAUGCUAUGUUUUUGGUAUAUAAAAAAACACUUUUUAGAAUUUUUAUUUUAUUUUUUCAUGAUCGACUUAAAUAUUUUAUAAAUAGACUUAUAUUUUUCUUAAAUUUAAAGAAAAUGACUUUCUUCCAUAAAGUAAGAAAAAACAUUCUCCAAAAUUCUCUUUCAAUCUCACUGUAUGAAUCCCAACCCCGCCCAAAUUCAGCGUCCCUGUCCAAACUCGAAUUAGAAUCCGGGUCAAAAGUCAGGUCUUAGGUCUAGAGUCUCAGGUAAAAAAUUGAGUCAAAUUAGGGUCAAAGUCGUGAAUCGAGAUCGAGUUAGGGGUCAGGGUUCGGAGCUUCGAGUAGGUACAAUGUCAAAAUAUUUGCCCAGAUUAUAUUUAAUGCUCUUGAAAAAAUAUUUUCAUUCUUACAAGUCCUGUAACAUGAAAGCCUGCAUUACUUUUAGUUAUUGAAUUCUUUUUUGGUAAAACAAUCAUCUACAUAAAAUUAUUUUUAAUAUAACAAAAAACUAGUGUGAUUUUUCUUUUAAAUUUGGCCUAGCUCUUUUUUCUAGAAUAGUGAUGCGAAGCUAGGCUGGCAGUGAGAGUUUCGAAGCUACUUCCCAUUUCUUGUCAUCAUCAUCACUAACACAAGUUGAUUAUGUGGAGGCAUGAAAAUUAUACUUUCGCAAUUGUAUAAUCAAACAACUACUGAAUGGUUAUUUAUACACAAUUUUUACCUAGUGAAUUUAAAAAAAAACUAGGGAGUUAUUCUUAACGUUUUCGAAUUCAACCUAUAAUUUCUUUUCAAACCAUAAUAAAUCUGCUAAAUGUCGGUUAUAGUUACUAACAAUUAGCAAGUACAUAAAAAGAUAAAAUGAAAGAACUUACUGCCAGAAAUAGGAAAUAAUAGUAUCAAUUAGACCGAACGGUGGUUGAAACAGAAGAAUUUUGAGGCUUAAAUUGAUGGGACCUAGAUCAGCGCAUGUAUUUUGACUCUCUUGUGACUUGAUGGAAAUUGUAAUUACCUUCAAAGGUUGUGAUGGGUGGCAAAUAUCUAUUCAAUUUUAACUAAUGAUUUAUUAUUCGAACUUCAAGAAUAAAACUAACUUUGUUAGACAACAAUGAUUUUGAUAUUUUUUUUCUUAAAUGUGAAUUCAGAAUAGUUAGAUGUCAAAGUGAUAUCGAAAUAAAAUACUAAGAAGUAGAAAUAGUACUACUUAAUAUACUCCCUCUGUCCCAAUUUAUAUGACUUACUUUCCUUUUUAGUCAGUCCCAAAAAGAAUGACACAUUUCUAUUUUAAGUAACAAUUUGCCUAUGAAAUGUCUUUUUUACCCUUAAUGAAAUGAUUUACAACCACACAAAUUUCUAUCAUUUAUUUUGGACCACAAGUUUUAAAAGUCUUUCCAUUUUUCUUAAAGUUUGUGCCAAAUCAAAGUACAUCAUAUAAAAUGGGACGGAGGGAGUAUUAAUUUAGGCCUUUGGCUUGACCCACUGACCCAAAGAAAACGUGGGUUGGAUGGGGAGUGUCUUUGCUCGUGCUAUAAAUACCACCUCUCUCUGUUUUCUAUUUCACUUCCAUAGUGUAAGCCAGCUCAGAAUUCAGAGUUCUCAGCUUUCCUUCUUUUUUGUAUCUAAAAUUAGAAUGGCAUUCCUAAAGGCAUUUGCAGCUUUGCUCAUUGCAUCACUUGUGCUUGUCCAUUUCACUUAUGCCCUUCAAGAGGUUCCCCUUUUUCUUAAAUUAGCAUGUUUAUUUCUAAUUAACAUCUUGAAAAUAACGUUUGAUUUUGAAAUGUUGGCGCAGGUAAUUAACAGCAAACCACCAGUACCAAGUCCUCAACCUCUAAAGCCAAUAGGUACGUACUGUAACAUUUUAAGUAUUUCCGCUAUAACUUUCGUAACUGAUUCUAAAUUCUGAAUUCGUCUUUGUUACAGAUUGUACGGGAUCUUGUAAAACGAGGUGCAGCAAAUCGUCUCGGCAAAAUCUAUGCAACAGAGCAUGUGGAACCUGCUGCCAGAGAUGUCAGUGCGUGCCACCAGGGACUUCUGGAAAUUACGAAGCAUGCCCUUGCUAUUUCAACCUUACUACUCAUAACAGUACCCGCAAAUGUCCUUAAAAUCCAUAGCAUAAUUUUGUUCUUCUGCAAAUUCAAAUGUACCUCUUAUUAAAUACUACUAUUAUUAUGUUGUGUACUAUGUCAGCUCUUGAAUUUGAAAUUUAAGGGUAAAAUUGAGGUUGAGAGUUUUUAAUGCAAUAUUAAUAUGGGUAUUAUUAAAUUGAUUGAUCUGUUUACUCUAGUCGUCCCAUUUACUGUGAACAGAAUUAAGUGAGUCUGGACUAAAUGUUGAUUGAAAUAGCUACAUUUAAUAUCUUUCUUCUUUUUGCGUAGAAAGCGAGAAAGAAAAAUUUUAUUUGUACAAAACAAAGCUAGUAGUUAUGGAUAUACGAUAGCACAAUUUUAACUAUUCCAUGAUCGAACAGGUUCUUGGUACUCACUUUUAAGUAACAUGAUGUGAAAUAUUUGUAACGCAUUAUUAUCUGCAGUACAUAAUAAUUGAACUCAAAAGUGUACUGCCUUAGUCCCAUGUGUAUUUUGGACUCUCUUAAUAAUUUAUUAAUUAAAUGUUUAUUUUAUUAAAUUAAUUAUACUUAAGAGAUUUAAAUUAAUUAAAUACUAGAACUCAAAUUAGUUUGAGAAAUAGUUACUUCAGUGAUAUUGGUGAAGUUGGAAAAUAUAAUUGAUUUUCUCUUAAUUUUUUAAAAUGAACAAUAAAUAAAUAAAUAUAUUUAGGGCCCGUUUGGCCAUGCGAUAUGGAAUUAUGAUAUGGAAUCAUGAGAUGAAAUUGAAGUUUUGUUUGGACAUGCGAUAUGAAAUUUUUGUGUUGUAUAUUUUCUCAUAAACAUAAGAAUCUCAUAAGUUGUAAAACUAUUAAAAUAGCCCACAUUGUUUAUUCAAUCUUAUCAAAUAAACAAAAAUUUAUAAAAUCGCAUAAUAAAUUAUUACAAAGCUAUUUGUUCUCCACUUAAGUAAUUGUUUCAUCUAACUUUAAUUUAAUAAAAAAAAAUUGAACAUAAAUUGUAGUGUACUGAUUUUUAAUAUAAUCCUCCCACAUAAUAUGAUUUCUUCACGUUGAACUUACAUUUCUUGAUCAUGUGACCAAGAAGACGAACCAACAUUGUUGCUUUGAGCCAUUUGUUGGUCAAUAUCAUCCACAACUAUAUCUUCAUGCUCAUAGACCAUAAAUAUUUCAUCAGUACUUUGGUAUUCUCGCAAAUAAUUAUGUAACACUGCACAAGAUAUGACAAUUUUCAUUUGUGUAUCAAUAUCAUAAUAGUUCAUGCCUUGUUUCUAGUAUUCUAAAUCUAUUUUUCCAAGCUCCAAAAAAUCCAUUCAAUCACAUUGCGCAGAGAUGAAUGCCUAUAAUUAAACAGUUCUUUGGCAUUUUGAGGCUCUCUUUCACUUCCUCAGUAAUCUUGCAAAUGAUAGCGUAGUCCUUUGUAUGGAGCUAAAACGGUUGGAGUAAAUGAACAGAACAAAUUUAUUACUCAACAAUCGAUUGAUGUGAGUUAAAGUGACUAUAUGUUGGUGAGAAUAAUAAAUUUUAUGUUGGUUAGAAUAAUAAAAUUUUAAAAAGUAAUGAUGUGAUUAUAAAUUUUGUUUACAUAUGAAAUAAAUGGUUAGUAGAUAUAAAUGUGGGGUUGUUUUAACAAAGUAUAAACUCGUGGAUCAAUUUUUGUAUUAAAAUAUUUCAAAUCAUGAUAUGAAAUUCCCAUAUAAUUUCAUAUCAUGGUUUUUGGAGAAUAUGGUAUCACAUCUCAUGAUAUGGAAUCAUGAGAUGGAGUCAGCGUAAAAUCGCAAUGUCCAAACGCUGAUUCCAUCUCACGAUACCAUAUCGUGAUAUGGUAUCGCAUGGUCAAACUCCUACUUAGUAUAAUUGAGAAGUGAAAACAAGGAAACAAAGAGAGUAAUGUACAAACAACCAAAAGUUUCACGGAAAAUAGUCUUUUAUCUCAAUUUAUGUGUACUUUUUUUUUUUAGUGAUGUUCCAAAAAGAAUGUCACAAUUCUAUAACUAAAAGUGAUCUGAUUUUAAUUUUAAAAUUCACUUUUUACUCUUAAUAAAUAAUUUAUAGUCAAACAAAUAUUUAUAAUGUGAUGCUUAACCCCCGCCCCCAACUACGGGGGAAGUCACACUUUAACUUCCUGCCUUGACCUAGGCCUCACAUCGAUCGUUCUGUCCACUAAACUCAUCAAUCAAUCUUGACCUUGACUCUCACUAUGUACUCCAACUCUAUCUAUUAAUGUAGACACUUUAUCUAAUGAAGCAUGAAGAAGACUAGGAAAGCAAUCGAACAGACAAGGCUCUGUAAGAGAAGAGCUAACUGGAGUACGCCUUGAAUGACGAACGAAGAGUAUGAGAAGAGAGUUUCGAAGGUCAGAUCGAAUUCGCUGAUAAAACUUGUGUUUUAAAUAAAUUUUUGAAAUUUGUUUUUCUUUUAUAAAUUUUAAAAUGAUGUCAAAUGAAUUAGACCGUAACGAGGGAGCGUUACUUGAUCCUAUAAAGAUGACAGAUAAUAGCCUAAUAUAGUUUAAAGACACGCUUUUCGUCAAGAAUUUGGAAUGAAGUAAAGUUGACGGGUCCUUGCUGUACAAAACACUCAAGCAAAGUACGUCACUUUUGGACAUAUAUAUUGUUAAAUUUAGUGUAGCUUUAGUUCAUAACUUAAGGACUAGUCACAAACAUUAAUUUGAUUUGCAUUUUUCACACUUUGAGAGCCUUAAAGUGUGUUAAUUUUUUAUUUUACACUUCACCUGUUCAUCUUUACUUGUACAUUAUACUAAAAUUAGUUGUCUAAAAAUAUUUAUCAAAUUUGAAAAAUCAAGAGAUAAUUUAAUUUUCGUGUUUGUUUUAUCCUUGAUAUUAAAUACUAUAAUAUUUACUAUCUAAUUUAUUUUCUUAAGCAUUAUAUUUAAUAUAUUUAAAGAUUAAUAUAGUAAUAUUAUCUCUGUUAUUUAUUAAUUUUAAAAUAUAUUGCAAAUCAAUAUUGGACCGCUAUUAUUGGUAUCGUAUUAUUUGAAUGUCUUUAGGAGACAAUUAUGAAUGGAUUUUAGUAAAGAAUGUUGACAAGUCAAAGUGAUUAGCUUGACUGUAAUGUGAGUUAGGUGAGGGUAUCCAAGUUGUGCUCACUCCAACCAAUGCAUUCAUCAAAGCCUACUCACCCACAGCUGGCUGCCUGCCUGCUCCCUUAGUAAUGCCGGUGCUUCUUUUAUCUUCCUACAUCUAUUUUUACUUUUAUAUGUCUCUUAUAAUAUAUAUAUAUAUAUAUAUAUAUAUAUAUUAAUUUAUUUUCAAAUACACUUUUUAAUGUGAUUAUGAUGGGAUGUAGGUAAUUAGUGCAAUCUUUUGAUUAAAUGUGUGCAUGAAAAUGUUCUUUUGAAAUUUUACAACAUUUAUGCAGCAGGUAAUUACUAUUGUUUACAAUUUAAAAAAUGAAUGAAUUUUAAUUAAUGUUAUCUUGAUUUUCUAAAUUGACAAGUAGUAAUUUAAGAUAAAUAUAUUUAAUAAUGUAGACAAAUAAGUAAAUAUAUAAUUAUUAGCAUAUGAUAGUACAAAUCUUUUUAGUAAUGUGGUUAUGUAAAAAAUGUAGUGAUAUCCCACCAAAGUGAGGAGAGCUCUGAUCCCACCAAAGCUACUGAAAAUCAAUUGAAACUGUGAAAGUGCGGUAUUCAUGAACUAACUGGAAAAUGUAAUUGACAGUUGUAGUCUCCACUGCCCCAUAAAUUAAGUUCCUCAUUUUAUCUCAUAAUUAAAAUAAAGUCGGGUCAAGACUCAACGGGUUCUAGGGAGUUAAGUAAAAUAACAACCAUGACUAAUCCAAUGUCCUUUUUUUUUGGAGGGUGGGUGAAUUGAAAUAAUAAUCAAUUUAAGGUAAGUAUAAGUAUUUUAGUUUCACCAAGAGCAGUGCAAUUAGUUGGAUAUAUAGUAGUAUAACCAAUGCAUGCAUGCAAACAUGAAUAUGAAAUCAUUAGGAGUAGUUUGGUUCAAAAUAAUGUUACCUCAUGAUUAUAAUCAUGGAACUACCAUUAUACAUCAUUCCAUCUUCUAUAGGUGAUGAUACAUAAUCUCAUAAUUUUGAUAUAAAUUUUGUCAUGUUUUUAGUUUAUACCCACAACCAAACACUAGACAAAUUUAACCUUAGGUUCCUCUAACAAAUGACCCUUGAAGGAAAAAUUCCAUAAGUAGUGCCCAUUAGAGCAACAUGACUUUCCUUUCAAAACAUAGCAAAACUCAUAAAUAUAUGAAAUGUAUAUAAAGUGUAAGUCAUAUCAUGUACGUAUUGUAAACCAUCACCUAAAAUAUAUGGCGAUAGAUAACAAUGAUUUUCUAGAAUUGAAACUUCAACAACAGCAAACGAGUGACAGUGACAACUAGGGUUUUUAAAUGUACAGAUAUGUGUAUAAUUACGCUACACCCUAUAAUAAUUAUUUUUUUUCCUUAAUAAAACAGGGGCUAAUCACUUGGGCAAAUGAAAACUUUGAUAUUGGGUUGAUCCUAGUUCAUAUAGAGGUGGGCAUGAAAUGCACCAAAAAAGCCCAAGUCCAUGUUUCAAAUCCUAACGGCUACUUUGUUAACGCGCUGCCUGCCUUACAAGAAUGUUCUAACGGUCACUUUAUGUUUUCCCAUUGUGAAACCCUAUUUCCACAACUAUAAAGUCCUCUUCUCUCUGCCCAAAUUCCAUCUCAUUGUCUUACUACUCUCUGUCAGUGAAUUUCUCCUCUCUGCAGUUCUUGAUCUGAAUAAGAAUUUCGGUAUACAAGUAACCCAAAAAUCAAACUUCACUGCAAUAUUCAUCAAUGGAGACUCCAUCAUCAACAAGAAGGGUGACAAGAUCACAAGCCUUGGCUGUGGCUAACAGUGCUAACAAGAUCCCUCUGUCAACUAGUAAGUUUUUAUUGCCCUGUUUUCAUUUUCCCUUUCUUGAAAUUUAAUUUGAUUUCUGAAAAGUUAUUUCUUUUCCUGUUCAGAGAAAAUUGAAGAAUCUGAGAAGAAAACAGUGGCGAAAUCAAGAAACAGAACUGGGAAACAAUCAGCAUUGAUUGAUAUAACGAAUGAUUCCCCCAUUGUUGGUCUUGCUAUGGGGAAUUUGGGGACCCCAUCUUCAGAGAUGUCUAAGAAAAGGACUAUAGGUCUAGCCAAAUACUUGAGUACACCUGGAUCUGGCGAGGAUUUAUUGAGGGGACAAGUUAAGACUUUGUUGCAAAAGGUUGAAGAAGAAGCUGUGCUCUCGAAGAUUUCGCUGGAAAAUAGGCCUUUCCUUCAUCUCAAAGGAAUUAUCAACUCUCCCAUGGGUCUUCUUGCCCCAACUCCUGCAAAUACACCUCUUAUGGAUUUCUCUGUCAAUGAAUUGCCUGCUGUUACUGCAUCCCCUGUUGAAGACAAGUUUGUCAUUUCUCAGGUACAAUUUCAAUUACCUGUAUCAAUUAGUAUCAAGAAAGAUUCCUUCUUUAUUACUUGUUUGAUUUCAGAAAUCCAAGAUUUGAAUUAGCUGAUUGUAUGUUACAGAUGAUCAAUGAGAUGUUUGAAGGGGGAAAACAGGGGAAUCUUGAAUCUGAGAAAAGUUACUUAACAAGAUCGCUGCUGCUGGAUUUUUAUGAGAAACCAGAAGACUCGGAACAAUCUUCUGUGUGUUCCUCUGUGCUGACAUACCAAGGAUGUGAUGUUGAAAGCAAGGAGAAGACGACCCCUUCAGAUGACGACAAUGCAUCUGUGUGGUCGAUUCAGGUGAAUGCAAGUACUAAGGAUGAAGAAGAAGAAGAAGAAGGUGGACUUGAAGAAGAUGAAUAUGAUGAUGACAAGUAUGAUGAAAUUGAAGAGGAUGGAAGUGAAGUUGACGAUCUGUGUGAAGCGAUUAGCAAGAUCAAUGUGAAUUUUGAGGGGAAGCAUACGCGUUUUGUGUACAACAGUGAUGAUGAGCUUGAAGGUGCUGAAGAGUGCAAUGUUGAGGCUGCAUCAUCACCAGGUGUCUUGCACUUGAAGGGGUUGCCAACUCCAAAAGGGAAGCAUCUUCGCUUCCCUGAAGAACACUGAAGGAAGAAAUUUCUAGGCUUAUAUUGAUGUUUCUGUUUUUGACACACACCUGCUCUGUGGUGCUAUAAUACUUGUCAUGAUCUUUUUGUCCUUAUAGUUACUUCUCUUUUGCUGCUGCUACAUUGUAUUCUUUUGGUUCAUAUCUGAUUUGGACCUUUUGAAAAUUGGCUGUCAAAUUGAUGAUAUAUUUCAAAAAUCAUCUCUUUCCAAUGUCUCUGAAAGUUGUUUAUUACAUUCUUUUGGUUCAUAUCUAAUAUGGACAGUUGAAAGUUAUGCUUGCUACUUUCUAUAGUCACUUGCCACGAUUUUCUAUGAUAUUAUUUGAUUACUUUUUUGAGUUUAUUAAAAGACAUGCCUAGUAAUAGAAUAGGAGGAAGAAAGUGAAAGCUGGACGAUAGAAGCAAUGGGUCAAACUGAAAAAGAGUAGCAACUGUUUGAAUAAUAAUAAAACACCAACCCUAAACUGAUUUGAUCAAAUUCAAUUUUACCAAAGUGGACCUUUAUCCUACGGCGGCUAUAGCGGCUCAUGGGAGACAUGUAUACACAAGAGAUCGACUCGUUAAAUGCGGAGUGAGUGACACAGGAAAUUGACUGAACAUGCAUUAUAUGUUCAUGCAAUGAAGAGGAAGAAGAGACACUGGAACCAGAGAAUUUUUCGGCAUACUUCAAGAGAUCCAACUAAUGUUGCAAAACAGGUGAUUUGAGAAGUCUUCCUAGAACAAAAGUCUACCAACACUGUGGCAAAGAUACUAGAGAAGCUAAAUUUCUAUCCUAGAUGAUUUGAUUGGCAUGAAAUGUAGGAAACAAUAGUUAUCCCCAUGACAAAUAGGAUCAUGAUGAUUGCAAUUCACUCAGUGAUAGAUUUCUUUGUUCAGCAUGAUUGGCUUUAAACCAAAUUGUAUAAAUUCCUUGCUGGUUUUAAAAAAAUAUUUAUCAGAAAAAAACAUAAUUUAAAUUUAAUUUACACAUAUCCUUUAUUGUUUCCCUUAAUGUUUGAAGCAUUUAUACGUUUUUCUUAAGGGAAACCCGCAACUGCUAGCCUCCAAAGCUGAUUAUUCUCAUUCAAAGCUGAUUAUUCUCAUUCGACAUUCAACUGUUAUGUUCCUCAAUACCGAGUCUAUGCUACUUCAGCAAGAACGAUCACAGAAAUAUCACAACAGAUACAAUCACAACCUUCUUCGAAAGUAGCUCAAAACCAUGAACAUAUUAGGCUGCACUGAGUAAAACUAAUUCCACUAUUUGUUGACUAACAUUGCCUCUAUAAGCGCCUGGAAAGAACCGGCAGCAAAAGGAAUCAUUUAUAUACAUGAGCAACUAGCAAUAAUAUUUACACUACUAUCUAGCUUGCAUCACCUAAAGGUAAAUACAAGAGACUAUACAGUCACUAAUUAAUGUUAGAUUACACUAUUAGACACCUAAAAGUUGGCAUAACACGAAAAUUAAAUUAGAAAAAAAUAAAUCAGAACCAAGGAUGCCACGUCGGAUCCAUCAUGCACAAGUUCCUUGGAGUAAGGGCAGCUUCAACCAACUCCGCUACACCCCUCUGCACAGAUUGUGGCGGAUCCAUGCCAUUCUCCUCCU
rnacentral:lncRNA from 1 species